UGAGUUCCUAAAGUUCCUAAAUGCAGUAUAAACCAGUCACCUCCUUUUAUUGGAGUUCCUAAAUCCGGAAUAAACCGUUCACCUCCCUAAAUUCUUAAUAUUACAUUUGUCCUGUAUAUAAUAUCGUAUAACAUAAAAAAAAGCUGUCCAAAAUCCGGAGGAGAAUAACCAGGUCCAGAACUCUAGAUCCAACCCACAAAGUCAAAAGGGUGAGUUCGCAGGAUUCCUUUUCUAAUAAUAUAAUAUGGUUUUGAAACAAAUGUGCGUGGCCUCCAUCACUCAUUACAGUUGACUGUCAACCUUGAAUAUCAUCCAUGGCGGAACAACUAUUGCAAAUUCGACGUCUACUUCGACUUCUUCUUCAUCAAUAGUUAUGAUCGCUGCCACUGGCGAUGGUAAGGAAUCUCAACCCUCAACCUCCUCCAUACAACUCACUCAAGCAUGCCGUCACUUCCAGUUUGCUGAGAUUCUCUUAGCAACCUUUUGACGAAUCAUUAGUAAUUGGGCAUGGAGGAUUUGGAAAAGUUUACAAAGGUAACAUUAUCAAUGGAUCAAGUGUUUCCAUUGCUGCCAUUAAACGGUUGGACUCCAUGUCCAGUCAAGGGGCAACAGAGUUCUGGGCGGAAGUUGAGAUGCUUUCAAAGUUACGUCAUAGUCAUCUUGUGUCUUUGUUUGGUUAUUGUAAUCAUGAAAAUGAAAUGAUCCUCGUAUAUGAAUAUAUGCCAAAUGGAACACUAGAAGACCACCUCCAUAAACUUGGUACCCCUCUUUCAUGGCUUCAACGACUCAAGAUCUGCAUAAGUGCAGCUCGUGGGUUAGAAUAUCUCCACACGGGUACAGGGAUUGAUUUCGGGGUUAUACAUCGUGAUGUCAAGAGCUCCAAUAUUUUGUUACAUGAAAGUUGGGCUGCUAAAAUUUCAGAUUUUGGGUUGUCCAAAAUAGGUCCAACGAAUCAGGCAUCGACUCAUGUCAACACACUUGUUAGAGGAACAUUUGGGUAUCUUGAUCCACAUUAUUACGCAACUGGAAGGCUGACAAGGAAGUCUGAUGUGUAUGCGUUUGGGGUUGUGCUGUUUGAAGUGCUGUGCAGGAAGCGUGCUGUGGAUAAAAAUCUUGAAGUAGGCUUGGCAACAUGGGCUCAAGAUUCUAUCAAAGAGGGAAAGUUAAAGGAUAUAAUUGAUUCAGAUAUAAGGGGGCAAAUAUCUACAAAAUGUCUAAAGGGGUUUGUUCGAAUUGCAGAGAGAUGUUUGCUUAGCCAUCCAAAGCAACGCCCUACCAUGGCUGAGGUUGUUUUCAGUCUUGAAUCUGCACUGAACAUACAAGACAAAAUCAAUAGUUCCUUGCAGGCUGGUGGCAAAACAAUAUUUGGAAGAAUGUUUGAUCGGUUUCCCUUUUCCUCCAAUGUAGAGAACUCUGGUAUUUUCAGCUCCUGUUGAAUUGUGUGUAUAUAUUCCUUAGUUAGAAUGUAGAAAUGCAAUCUCAUAACUUUAAAAUACAAAAGAGUAGUUAUGCCGAAAGCAGUACUGAGUUCAAAUAUUUAUGUUAUUAUUCUAUCAUUUGCUUUAAUAUUGGUGAUUAGCAUAAUCCAAAUUUCUUUCAUUUGUUUUACCAUUAUCUAGUUUGUAGUUUCAUUGUUUUGCUCUAAAGCCUGAUUCUUGAUAAUUCACCUUGUUUUGCGUAUCCAAGUGUCUCUAGUUUCAUUUUGUUUUUCCACAGAACUAUGUGCUUAUGUUCUUUACACUCUUAAAACUAGAACAGAUUUGUUUGAUGACUGAUAAUGCUUGUUUGUGCUUGUUACAAUGCUUAUGUGACAUUCAUUUGGUUCGUCUAUAUUCUAUGAGAUGCUUGACUCGAACCCUUGACCAUUUAAGUAUGCCACCCAGGAACCAACUGUGCUACAUUUUUCUGUUUUAUACACAUGAGAGGAUACAAUAACUAACUUAUAUUUACAUAUGUUGUGAAGAACACAAAAUUAUUACUAUAUAAUCUUGUUUUGUUCAUCUAUUUCAGCCCAUGGUGAUUCUAAGCAAUCAAGUAAUGACAAUGGCAAUGUUACAGCAAACAUAAAUUCAAGGAGUAGUGUUGGUGAGAGAAGUUCUGGAAAGGUUUCCCAAGGUUGGGUUGACAACAACAUUUUGAUCUCUACAAAUCCUGAUGUUGGUAUUAGGAAGCACAAAGAAGAAGGUUUUCAGCAACAUACUGCAAGUCUGGUAAGCAUACAAAAGUACACAUCAACUUAUAUUUAUAAUGAAGAAAAAAUAUUUAGAGUUUUAUGAGAAAACAUUUGACUAACAUAUUUCUUCUAAUCCUUUCACUUGUGACAUUCUCACAAAGCCGUUACAGAAAGCAUAAUAGAUCAUAUUUGUAAUAGUUGGCAUGAUUAACAUCUUUUCUCCAACUUGAGGAGGAAAGCUAGCUACUUUUAUCUAGUUUCCUAUUUGGAUUGUAUAUAUAUAUCUUUGUAUAUAAAAUGAGGGUUUCUGUUUCACAGAAAAGAAGUAGAAUUUUUGUUUUGUGAAUCUUUUUGAUAUAUAUGAUGUUGCAGGAAACUACAGAAGCAGACUUUUUCAGUGAAUAUGGUGAAGGGAGUAGGUACAAAUUAUUGGAAGUUAUUGGUAAAGGAAGCUCUGGUAUUGUAUGUUCUGCAUAUGAUACUCAUAGUGGCGAGAAAGUAGCAAUAAAAAAAAUAAAUGAUAUAUUCGAACAUGUUUCUGUUGCUGUUAGCAUCAUUCGUGAGAUUAAGCUUCUUAGGCUUCUUCAUCAUCCAGACAUUGUUGAAAUCAAACACAUCAUAUUACCACCUUCAAAAAGAGAAUUCCGAGAUAUAUAUUUGGUUUUUGAGCUUAUGGAAUCUGAUCUGCAUCAGGUUAUUAUCGCAAAUGACGAUUUAACACCAGCACAUCAUCAAUUCUUUCUUUAUCAGCUCCUCCGAGGACUGAAGUACAUACACUCAGGUAAUACAAUGUGUUAUGAUCAUUUCAUGAUAUGUGUAUUUCUUUCAAGUAGUCAUGCCGUGUUAUAUUUUUGUGUAUUCUGAUUGUGAAUUACUUACUUCUUUUGCAGCAAAUGUCUUUCAUAGAGAUCUAAAACCCAAAAAUAUCUUGGCCAAUGCUGACUGCAAACUCAAGAUCUGUGACUUUGGUCUUUCAAGGGUUGUGUUCAAUGAUCAACCUACUUCAAUAUUUUGGACGGUAUGUAUAAGCCUUAAGUUGUGGGCUACCAAUAAGAAACACUCACCAUGGUUUUAUGUUAAUCAGGAUGUUAUUGGGCUUGUUUAUAACUUUGGGCUUGGGGUGUUACAACUUACAAUAUGUUAUUGGGCUAGUAAACUUACUUCUUUAAAAGUAAUUUUUAUCAACUGCUUGAAUUUUGAUGUGUUCACAGGAUUAUGUUGGAGCACGAUGGUAUAGGGCUCCUGAACUCUGUGGAUCAUUUUUUAGCAAGGUGCCACAACGUACUAACUUGUACUACAGUUAUAUGCUUUAAAUUCAACAAAUUUAGACUUACUUUAAGUUCUCAACAUAUUGCAUUCUACAAGAAAUAAAGGUUUAUAAUAUAGGGCUAACUACAAGAAAUAGCAGUGGUGUUUAUAUAUGCAUUAUUGCAUUCUACUUCUGUUUCAUUAUAUUACAGCAGUGUUUACAUUUUUCUUUAUUAAGUCACUGUACUUUGAAAAUCUAAACAAUUAUAGGACUGUACUUCAAAAUUUUCUUAUUAAUACAUUCCCAAAAUUGGCUAGAUAUUUCAAAGUACAAUGCUGUAAUAGGAAAAAGUAUGGAUGAGGAUGCUAUUGUAAACAAAUCAAUGGAAGUAUAUUGCGAUUUCUUACAUUUAACCAUGUAACUCACUAUAUGAAAAGCAUUGGCCAAGUAGAUUUCGAGUACUAAAUAACAUUUUGUCUGCAGUACACACCUGCUGUAGACAUAUGGAGUAUUGGUUGCAUUUUUGCAGAGAUUCUAACAGGAAAGCCCCUUUUCCCUGGGAAAAAUGUUGUACAUCAGUUGGACUUGAUCACUGAUCUUUUAGGAACCCCAACAGCUGAUACUAUAUCCAGGGUUGGUUUACAUGACCAUUUAUUAGAAAGUAAAUCGCUCUUUCUUGCUUAUUAAUGUUGAUAUGACUCAAAACAGAUAAGAAAUGACAAGGCAAGGAGAUACUUAAGCAGCAUGAGGAAGAAAAACAGGAUUCCUUUUUCACAGAAGUUCCCAAAUAAAGAUCCUCUCGCUCUUCGUUUAUUAGAAAGAAUGCUUUCAUUUGACCCUAAGGAUCGACCUACUCCUGAGGAGGUAACAUCUUAGGCGCUAUCUAUCUAGAUUUAAGAAAGAUCUCUCUUAACAAAAAAAGGUUAAAUGCAAAAAACAAAAAAUCUAUUUUUUUUUAUUAUUCCAUCCUGCUUUCCUUUUUUUUCCCUUGAUAUUACAAUGAACAAUCCAGAAAAUAAGACUCAAAUUCUUGAUUGAUUUCCAAAUCGAUAAAGAAACAAGUAGCUACUCUAGAGGCUACACUCUCCCACGAGAAAACAAAAUCACCAAAAAGAUAUCCACAUUAUUCUCCACUACCCUCUAAAUAUCCUUUUGUAAUAAAUUUAAAGGACGAAACUGCCCAUGCACAUGCAUAACACUCUACCUCACUGAAUUUCCUUCUUGUUCUUUCGAGAAUACAAAAAUUUUAGGGGAGGAGGUGUAGCACAAUCCAAAUACAAAACUGUUAACUGUGGAANUAUAUAUAUAUAUAUAUAUAUAUAUAUAUCAACAUAAUUUACAUAAGGGGUCCCUAUACUAUACAUAAACAGAAAAAUAACAUAUAACUUAACAAAAACAGUUUUCACUGCUAUAAUUGGGUAGAGCAUUCAGAGUAUAAUGUCUUAAAAAGUAUAUAAAUGAAAAAGCUAUUACUGUGUAGAUAUAUCAAAAUAGAAUGUUUAAGAAAACAAUUGAGAGUAGAAUGUUGUAAUAGAAACAAAUGAAUGUAGGAUUCUAUAGUACUCAUAUAAGUUAAAGUAAGUUGCUAUUUCUUUUAUUUGGAUUACAAAAAAGCAUGUUUUGCACUUUGUAUUAGGCUCUUUUGGAUCCAUAUUUGAAGGAUAUAGCUAAGAUUGAGAGGGAGCCUUCUGCUCAGCCCAUUUCAAAGUUGGAAUUUGAGUUUGAACGAAGAAAAUAUACAGAAGAAGAUGUACGUGAACUGAUAUAUAGGGAGAUUCUUGAAUACCAUCCAAUUAUUUUGAAAGAGUACUUGGAUGGAGCUCAACGAACUGGCUUCAUAUAUCCAAUUCCAAGGUACAAUUUUUUGUUUUAAACUUUGGGUAAAAUACAAAAAAACCAACAUCCUUUCAUUUAUUUAUUUGUUAUAUCAUCCUUCUUUUACAACACUGUAUUUUGAAAAAUCUAUCCAAUUAUAGUAAUAUCAUUCAAAAUACAAAGCAUUUCAUUGAUAUAGUGCGUAGAUUUUAUGAAGUACACUCUCCUAAUAAGAAAAAAAAACUAAAGUAUGAUGCUACAAUUAGGUACACUUUUCGAAGUACAAUGUCUUAAUAGAAAAAAACAGAAGUUCGAGGUUGUAUUAAAAAGAGAUGAAAGUAAGAUGAUAUAAUAACCUAAUCAAUUGAAGUAUGUUAAUCUUUAUUCCAUUAUCCUUUAUUUUCUUAAUGUUGCAUGAUAUGUUUUGGUUCAUCACAUCCAAAUAUUUAUGACUAAUAUUUAAAUCCAAAUACAUUUGUAUUUUUUCUAUACUUAAAUUGACACUUGGCUUUUUUGAGAUUAUUGUGAAAGUAUACUAUAAAUUUUAGCACAAAAAGUGAAACAACUGAUAGGCACACUGACCACACCUUGAAACAAUGGUCAUCUGCUAUUGACAUCAACUGGUUCAUGUUGCUGUAGUGCUAUUUUAGCACAAUAAAUGACUUAUAAUAAUGGGAAACAAGUUUUCAUAUUCUUAACAUCACAUUAUUCAAGUAUACUACCACCCUAUUGUCGAGUUAAUUUAAGGAGUGGAAUGGAAGGGAAUGAAAGUAGAUCAAAGGGAAAUGUGUUCUUGAGUUUUUUUGUAAGAGAUGGAAGGGGAGGGGAAGCAAAAUAAGUGUUUUUUUUUACCAGGCAAUUUUUGGGAGGGUUAGGAGGGGAAGGCAAAAAAAGGCUUAAAUCUCUCCAUUCCAUUCCAUUUCCCUCCAACUCAAGAACACACUUGAUUAUUUCUAUUGUUCUUUCAUUUCCUCUCCUUCCAUUCCUUUCGUUUAAUUAAAAAACUCUAGAACAAGGUGAAUGAAUUUAAUCACCAAAAACAAUGAUUAACACACCAGAACAACAUCACAUGUUGUUGACUCCAGGUCAUUCCUGUUGUCGUAGCAAAGUUCACAUAAUAAAUACCUAAAAUAGCGUGGAACUAGUUUUAAUAUCUCUCCUUGGAUUUUCAUGAUAUCAAGAUUAAUAUAUAUUAUCAUUGUCUUCACUUUUGCAGGGCUGUUGAGCAAUUUGGGAAGCAGUUUCGUCACCUUGAGGAGCUUUAUGGCAAUGGUACAGCUGUUGAUCCUAUAGAGAGUCCACGAGCUUCAUCAUUGCCAAGGUGAUCUAUAACUGUGUCCAUACUUAAUUCCUAACUCCUGGAUUGCCCCUAGGGCAUAGAACAAUCAAUUCCAUUGUGAAUUGUGCUUCGUGUGAGAAUUGAGCAAUCAUCAUGAUGUUAUAUACCAAAUUUACAUCUAUCAUGAUGCUCUUGGAAUACGUCGGUGUGGGCCAACACAAGGAAGAGUAACUCUUUUGUAGAGACUCGUGAUUUUUUUUCCUGAACUGUGAAACUGGUUUACUUAACUUUUGGGUUCAGGCUUCGCAUAUUACACCCAGAAGAGACUGCACAAAGUAUAAUAGAAGUUACAAACGAUCUCCCUAAAUAUUCAAUCAAAGAAGCAGGGAAGCAAUAGAUGACUCAUGACAAUAACCAGACUUUCUCUUCAAGUUCCUCAAAUUGCCAACUGGUUUGAUGAUCCGGUGCAAAUAAUCAUUAUAUUUGGGUUUUACUUCUUCCCAUAUAUACUCAUUAUAUCAAAUUAAGAGGGUAAAAAGUAAUGGCAGUAGCAGCAUACAUAAUCCUGUGAAAAUGAGCUUUUAGUGUUCUUAUUUAUACCCAGAAUCAUGUUGUAAUCGAAAAACAAUUGAACAAAAGUUAAAAGGAAAUGGAUAGUUACUUUCACACUUUACAAAGACAAAAUGCCUCAAGUAAUGUACAUAUAACAAACACACACACAACUAACGUAACUGAGUAACAACUAAUUAAUCGACUCCACAGUUGCCACAGUCAACAACUAGGAAAUGACACAUCACCAAGAUGGUAGAGAUCCGGUAGAUGUCAAACCUUGAGUAGAUAAACCCAUGAAAACUGUUGAAGGUGGAUUUGAAGAUAACAUCAACAAAUAAAGAGUAAGAAGCUGAUAAGGUUUCUUACGCUAAAGAGAUGAAGGGCAUGUUUGGCAAAACUAGCCGUUCACUUAGUUUUAAUAUAUGUAAAAGUGUUAGGCAAAAGUAGUUUUAACCUUUUAAAGGUGUCAAAGUACAUAAAACUAAAUGCAAAAAGCUACUGAACUAGCUAAAUACCUUUUGGAUUCAAUGCUUUUUGGUUAAAAUAAAAUAAAAACUUUAAGCUCGUAUUUAAGCUGAUACUCUAGAAAAACCAUUUUUCUUCUUAAUUUGAGUUAUUUUUUUCUUAAAAGAUUAAACCUCUCAAAAGCUCACUGUCAAACAAACUGAAAUCUAACACCUGCUCAAGCAAGAGGGUAAGGAAAUAUCUGUUGGGUUUCAUUUAGAAAUCGGUUUCUAAAAACACUAGAAACAGCAACGCAAGCAUUAAAAUUGUGAAUAAACUUUAAACUAUUUUAAUCCACCAAGGAUCAUUUUACACACAUGGAAAGAUUAAUACAAUCAUAGGAACAAAAAAAUACAACCUUUGAAAACAUUGAUUCAUCUUGGGAGGUUGGAAGUUGAGGAAGAAUGUAGAAUAGAACCACACCUUAGUUAGAAACAUUAAAAAUUUGUCAACUUGAUAUAGAUUUUAGUCCUUGUAAUAAUAUGAACACUCUUAAGCAUUAAGUCAAAACCUAAGUAAUGACAUAAAGAUAUAUGUAGUUAAAGUAUCAAAACUCUUCUUUUUAACUUAACACUUUGAAAAGGUAAAAAGAAAGAGGGGGACGGAGUGAUUCACAUGAAUUACAAGCCAAAGAAAAUGAGAUCAAAAGGUCCAUUAAAAUACUUUCAAGAGUCAUCUUUAUCCAUUAAGUCUUUCACUUUUUUUGAACGGAAAAUCUACUCCUAAUCCUUAAUUCCCCUUAUGUCCACGAUAGAACUUGAACCCUCAACCUGAAAGAGGAAAGGCAACACCUGAUAAUGUUGGGCUCGAAGCCCUUUGGUGUCUUUCAUUUUCUAUUCCAUGCUUCUAGUACUUAAAAGCCUAUGGAAUAAGAACAUGCCUAAAGAAAUAAACAAAAACUAGUUUGAUUUUUUCCGAUGCUAGUUUAUUCACGUAUUUGGAAGCCAAAAAGGAAGAAAAAUGGUAGCCCUUUUUNUAUAUAUUAUUGUGGUUUUCGUUUGGAUUUUUUGUCCCUUUUUUUUUUUUUUUUUUUUUUUUUUUUUUUUUUUUUGUAGAUUUUUGUGUCUUAAAACCCUUUAUAAAAGACAUAAAAUAUACAACAUUUUUUCCUUCUUUGUCCAUGUUUGAAUAUUAUAAGAAGAACAAACUUCUAAAGCAUGGUACUUACAAUUUAAUAAGCAUUAAGGAGAAGUGACUAGCCAUGAAGCUAGUCANCUGAUUAUUUUUUUCAUAAAUUGUCAAAUAAACAUAUGAUAUAUAUAUAUAUAUAUAUAUAUAUAUAUAUAUUGUAACGCCCGGUUUCUGGUAUGUAUUUUAAAUAAAAAUUGUUCAUUUCUGCAAAGGGACUCGACGAGUUGGAGGCCCCAAACUUGUCGUGUAGGAAAGGGAGAAGUUUGGACGCGGGACUUAAAGUCUACUCGACGAGUCGAGGAGCCUCGACUCGACGAGUAGGAUUGCCAGAGUGAAACCCUAGUUUUUAGGAUUUGCACCCUAUGUAAAGCUCUUAACACCCCAUUUUGCCCUCUCUCAUCACCUCCCUAGUCCAUAAAACCUUAACUUGAAACCCUAGCCCAUUUUGUGUGUUCUUGAGCCAUUGUUGUGUGUUUUUGGUGGUUUUGAAGCUUGAGAAGGAAGAGGAAGCUUGGGAGAUCAAGAGGAAACAAGUAGAUCCAGAGUAUGUGCUCCAUUUCCAGCUCAUUUGAAGUAUAACGUUUAUACCUUGUCCAGUCAGCUAUUAGAUCUUUUCUUGGAGUAGUUUAAGGCUUUAAAGAGCCAUUUUUAGAACCAUUCAUGAAUGCAAGUAUGUCUUGGGGUAUUGACUUUAGAUCCAGUCUUUGAGGGACUCCAUGGCAUAAAGGUGCCAACUUUAUGGUCAUGGGAGUCCCAUGCAUCCUAUGAACCACUUUUUAGGGCUUUUUGAGCUAAAUAACCCAUGCAUGCACGUAAGGUUAGCAACUUUACGUGUUAUAUCGACCCUAGGUUUCCAGAUCUAUGUUUUGGAUGCAUUAAGCCCGACUGAAAUCGACUGUAUAGUAUUGGAUCAUGGAGGACUCGACCAGUCGUUCUUAGGACUCGACGAGUCGGGUCGUGGUUCCCCCAACCUUCUCUGUUACUUAGCAACUUGUUGAGUCUAGAUGAUGACUCAUCUAGUUAGAGGUGUUUUGGACUUAAAGGUCAAUAACUCGAUGAGUCCAAGGAUGAACUCGUCGAGUCAGUGAGCAAAUGUCCUGAUUGUAUAAAGGAAAACUCGACGAGUCCAAGGAAGGACUCGAUGAGUUCAAAUGGAAAGUCUCGAUUCUGUCAUAAGGAGAAACUCGACGAGUCAGAUCGCAAAUUCAAGAUUCUCUGAAUUAUGGAACUCGACGAGUUGAUGGACCAACUUGGCGAAUUGAGUCAACCAGGAUGUUGACUUUGACCAGGGUGUUGACUUUGACUUUGACUUUGACCAUUACCGAAGAUUGAGCCUCAAAGGGGAUAUGAAUGUGAAGGAGUAACCAAGGAGACUGUUAUGUGUAGGAGUUUGAGGAGAGUUGAUCCCAACACCGAGGGCAGUUUAGUUACUACACAACAUUGAAGUGAGUUACCUUCCAGUAGAAGUGGGUCUAAGGCACCAAGGCCGACCCAUUAGUAGGAGAUUACAGUUGAGAUGAUUGUCUUUGUGAUAAUUUUCUGGUAUGCCACUAUCUAUUAUGUUUUAUGUGCUAGUAUGUUAUGUGAUUAUGUGAUAGUGGUAGGUAGGGGACUAGUCCCUGGGUCAGGUUAAGAUAAACCGGCAGGGUAGGUCGGGCACCCUAGAAUUGCAUGACUAUAUGUUAUGAUAUGAAAUUAUAUGGUAGUGGUAGGGGUGAAAUAGUCCCUGUAGCCAGUUCUGAUAAACUGGAGGGUAGGUCUGGCACCCUAGAAUUGCCUGGCAGGGUAGGUCGGGCACCCCAGAAUUGUCGUAGGUUGGGCACCCCAAAAUUGCUCGGCAAUAUGUUGCUAUAUGUUAUGUGGUAUGAUGGGGGAACUCACUAAGCUUUGUGCUUACAGUUUUUAGUUUUUGUUUCAUGUCCUUCUUCUUCGAAGGGAAAGGAGUCGGCACGGUAGCAGCGGAUCACACACAUGAUUUCCGCGUAUGAGAUUCUUGGGUUUUGUACUCUGACAUUAUUAUGAUUUGGUUUUGAGACACUUGACCUAUGGUUUUAUGAAAUAAAUUACCUGAUGAUGUUUUCUUAUAAAUUGUUUUAUGAAUUGCUAUAUUAAAAAUGAAAUUUUUGGUCUUGAAUUUUGGGAAGCUACAAGUUGGUAUCAAAGCCUUGGUUUGAGGGAUUCGGACACACCUUCGGGGGUGUCUAGACUCAAAUCGAGGGCUUGAAAGUUUUUUACAAAUAAAAUAGUUUUUUUAAAAGUUAAAAUAAAGAGCUUUGAAAAAGUACAAGGAGUGUGAUGCGUGCGAUCGGCCGAGCUCAAGUAAGUUUUCCCCAAGAUACCCAUACUUGUUAUGUUAUGACAUGUUAUGAUUAUGAGGACUGCAUGCUAGAUUAUGUCUAAGGAUCUAGGAAGGAUGCCUUAUAUGCUUAUUGUAUGUGUAUGAGAACUGCAUGCUAGAUUAGGGCUAAGGAUCUAGGAAAAUGCCUUAUGUUCCUGUUGUAUGUGCUUAUUAAGUUACAUGCUAGAACUGAUUAGUCAGUAAUAUGAUGGCCUGAAUAAGAUAUGCUUGGUAUGGUUACUCAAUGCUUGAAUGCUUCUUGCUUUGUGCUUUUAGGAGUUCUAGUUAUCUUUAACUAACUAGUAAACAAAUACGUUAAGUUUCAUAUUGCAAGGACUAAAUAUUUUCAGAAGGUUAGGUCUAGCACUGUUGUGCAGCUCUUGUUUGAGUCCAACUGUUGCAGGGUAGGACCUCUCAUUCGAAGAAUUAUCUGGUCUUAGUGAUAUGUGAUGGUAUCCGCGAGCUAGUUAGGUAAGGUUGAUAGGAAUUUCUUAUGCAAUUGAUGGCGGAGAGUAGGUCGGAGAGUUACCCUAGGGUAAGCCUAGGAUGAGAUUAGAGCAGUGAGCAGUAGCAGUAGAAGGGACUUGGUGAAGUCAAGGCAAACAUUGAGGAAAGUACGGAUAAAUGUGGAAGGUAGUAUGGGCCCGUACUAAUAAAAGCAGAGGAUCUGUACUCGAGUCAAAGAGGGCUUAGAUAGAACCAGAGAACUUGUACAUAGUGUUAGACCUCUCGAGACUAUAUAUGACCCUGACGAUUAUGUGUUUUGUUUCAGAAUGGUGGUGACACGUCACGGAGCAGGAGGUUCAAGGUCUCUGUCAGGAUUAGUUUCAGGUUCGAGUGCAGGCUCCGAGCCAGUUGAUGGCGGACUAUGUGAGUUCAUCGCGUCUGAGAUCAUGAGAGGCAACCUUGAGGUGAAACCGUUUAUUUUCGGGUCGAUCAAGGACGGGAUCAUCGAGCUGAUGGAGGAUCGCCUCAAGGCGUUCAUGAGCGACAUGACAGCUGGCAGUCAAGGACACGACACUCUCCUUCAAGGAUUUCAGGGGAUGUAGUGCGCCAGACUUCCACGGGGUGAAGGACCCUAUUAUGGUCAGGAGGUGGAUUUCAUACAUCUAGUCUGUUCAGUUGACGAGCUUCUGCCCUGAGGGGUCGAAGGUCCAGUGCGCUGCAGGUUGUUUGAGAGACCAAGCUCGAGAUUGGUGGGAGGCGGUCAGUGAUUCUUUGGGAGACCCAACCAUUGAGACUAUGACUUGGUCAGACUUUGUGACCAUGUUUAGGGCGGAGUUUGUGCCAGCUGUGGAGCUACAACAACUGGCUAGGGUGUUUCUGUAUAUGAGGCAGUCGACUGAGUCGGUGGCGGAGAUUACCGCCAGGUUCCGAGAGGGGGCCUUACUGGUGCCUCAGUGUACAGGGGAUGAGGAGACGAGGAAGAUCAGGUAUCACGACAUGUUGAGGGCUGACAUCUAAAAACAUGUCAGCUACUCGGCAUGCACGACUCUGGAGGACAUGAUAAUCAGGGCGAGGGAGAGGGAGAUUGACAUAGAUCACCUCAGGAAGAGGAACGCAGAGACUGGUCCAGUGUCAGGGGUUUCAUGGAAGAAACCCAAGGGAGUUGACUCGAAGUGGAAGGGCCAGCCGGGUAGGAGCCUAUGCGGGAAAUGCUGCAGGCCAUAUGAGGAACUUUGUAGAGCCGGGGGCUCGGGCUGCUACAAAUGCGGCAAGACCAGGCACUUUAGCAAGGAUUGUACUGCCCCUACUCCUACCUUUCAGACAUCAAAACUGAUUUGCUUCCAUUGCAAUCAGAAGGACCAUAAAAAGACUGACUGCCCGAGACUAGUAUCAGCAGCGCCAGUGGCGACGCCAGCUCCAACUACCCUGCGGAUCACAGAUGGUCGACAGGGCAAGUCAGAUGCUCCAGUGGUGAGGAGCCGAGCCUUCCAGCUGACCGCCGAGGAGGCACGUGCCGCACCAAAUGUGGUGACGGGUAUGUUUUCUUCUCCCUAACUCUUAUUACAUUUCGGUCGUGUUAUUUAUGUUAUAUGUGUUAUGUGUUUUGUUAGGAUCGUUCCAUGUGAACGACAUUCCAAUACAGUGUUAUUUGAAUCGGGGUCUACCAGAUCAUUUUUCUUUCUUGCAGUUAGCAAGAGAUUUACUGAGUCUUCGGGGAUGUUGGAUUGUCCUCUAGAGGUCGAGAUUGCUGAUGACCGAUCUGUACGAGCAUCGGAGGUUUUCAGAGAUUGCAUUUAGAGGUUAUAUGACAAGCGUUACCUUGUGGACUUGGUUCCCAUUCCAUUAUGUGGGAACAAGGUUAUCAUCGACAUGGAAUGGCUGUGCCCUAAUGAGGCGGUGAUUGACUGUGCGCAUCAGUUGAUGCAGCUCAGGACCCUAAGUGGGGGAGAGCUGAUGAUUCAGGGCGAAAGGUCGUAGCAUGGACUAACUAUGUGUUCGGCAGCGAGGGCUAGAUGUUACCUUCAACAGGGUUGCACAGGGUAUGUCGCUUAUGUAAUAGAUAUCUGGGAGGCGGGUAAGGCGACUGUGAGUGAUGUACUAGUGGUGCGAGAGCUGUUGCGUUUUUUAGCAUUCUAACACUCCUAAGUUUACAUGCAACCCUAAAUACCUUGGAUAUAUGUGUUGGGUUUUCAGCAUUCUAACACUCUUAAGUGUAUAUGCAACCCUAAAUACCUUGGAUCUAUGUUUUCUCUAUUAUACAUACAAAUAUGAACAUCCAAGAUAUUAUCCUAAUCUAGCAUAUAAAAUAAUGAAUAUAACAAGAUAGAAUACAUACCUCUUUCAUGUAGAAGGUCUUCAUGAAGCUUGAGUGCCAAGUGCCCCAAGUGUGACACCUCAAAUGGUUCACACAACACCAAAUACACUUGGAAUAACUUGAGAGAAUUCUACACUUCAUGAAAAUUGGCUAGCCCUCUCUAGAUUGAUACUAGUCGCCGAUUUUGUCAAGAAUAAGAUCUUUAUAUAGUGUUACAAUUAGGGUAAACCCUAAUUGUCACGACUUUCCAUUUCCUUGGAUCCAUGGGUUCAAAUACACCAUGGAGAAUCCAUGGACCAUCCUAUGGGUUUUAGCCCAACUUGAUUAUCCAUGGAGCAUUAGCCCACUAUACAAGUAUGGAUGAUUUACACAAUCAACCCAUAUAUUUAAUUAGUCUUCUUUUGAUCACUUAAUUAAUCCUAGAUUAAUUCUUGAUCAAUACUAAUUAAAUAAUCUUAUUAUUCUUAUUAUUAAUAUACUAGAACUUAUAAUAUAUUAAUAACCAUAAGUGUCUUAUUUCUCUCAUUAUAGUCUAUCCAAGUGCAUGAUGCCAUGCAACCCAAAUGGACCAUGCCGGGUCGGGUCAAGUCUUACCAAUUAUAGUUAUGGACUUAGACAUUAAUCCAACAGUCUCCCACUUGGAUAAGUCUAAAACUAUUAUUGCGUAUGACUUCAGGAACCAACUGGCAAUCGUAGCUCUCAAAAGCUUCUGUCGAACUCUGACCUUGUAGAUGAACUCUGACCUUUGUCAAUGACUUGUCCAUUAGAUAAGGGAUCAUAUAUUCCUCCAUUCUAGAUAUCAUAUGGACUGAGACAUGGAUUAUAAUCAUUCUCUCUGUCCAUUUGUUGUUUCCCGAUUUCCGAUUUAUGACGACUGACUAAUUGAACAAAUCAAAUCAGUCCUGGCCCGGCCGAGCACUUCCAUUUGUCAUCAUCAAAUCAUCGAGGGGCCCACAGAUAUCGCUUUUAUCCCGAAGGUAAAAGGAAUGGAUAAACUUCGACUCAUAUGGCUUGUUCUACUACUUGUUGAAUCAUACACAAAGGCACGUUUUAUAGCACCGAGUUACCAAAUGCGUUUUCGUGCAAUCAAUGUACUAUCAACUCAUAGUAACAACUCAUAUCUCUAGGUUUGAAGAAUAUAAGAUAUUAUCGUCUCAUGAUCACUCGUGAUAAAAUCCAUGAAGUGAUUCCAAUGAGCGCGGGUUGAAUCCAAUACUCAGAACUUAUGAGCACUCAUGAGUGUUGUAGCCCUUUGUCCAACACCUUAGACCUCUACAAGCCAACCCAUGACAGUCUUAAUUCAUAUCUACUUCCAACAUAUGACCGACUGUGGAUGGUUUGAAUAACUUAGUCAUUCCGGAAGAAUAACCUAGUUUAUUCGGGAAGUCAAAACAUGCAAAGUGAAACACAAUAAUAAUUGAAUCCAAUAUGGUAUCAACCCUUUGAACAUAAAUAAAACACCUUUUAUUUAUCACCAUAUGAUUACACAUUAUUCAUUGUAUACUGUUUCAGCUAUCAACUUUAUUCUUGAAUUUAAAACAAUAGUUGUCCCAUGCUCCAAGCAUGUACACUAUGUUUUCUUAAACACUAGUCAUGCCACACACCAAGUAUGCAUACUAUGUUUGUCUAUGAUCUUUACUUUGUGAACUAGAUCAAUUGAACAUAACUUCAAUGAUUCUCUUUUCACACUCCCAAAUCCUUACUGCAAAUGCAAGAAUUCCAAAUUCAUGCCAUUUACUGAAAUCUGUUAGAUUCUAAACUUAUAUGCAUUGAUCCUCUUGUAAUGAUUAUGCACAAAGUCAGAAAGACUUGACAACAAUCAUUACAGAGUAUUCCAAAGGAGAUCAGCUCCUUGGAAACAUCCUUCUUGCAUUAAGUUUCCUAAUCUUAAACAGAUUGAAAAUUCUAACUUUGAAACAUUUCCAGAUUCCAUUUUGACUAUCACUUCUGAACAAGAGUUGCCUCCUUACAGAUUAUGUCAAUAUGGUCCUUCCAGAAUUAUCACUAUACUUCCAACUGUCCUUGAGCAACCAAUCUUUGGUAAACCUUAGAUUGUCCUCGACAAUUGUUUAAUCCUUUUAGUCAUAUCCAGUUCUAAACCUUUUCCCUUCUUAAUGCCCCAGGCAUUUGGAAAAUUUUAGAACGGAUGAAUAUAGCACAUGUAAUCGAUCCUAUAUCCGAAGCAUAUGGGACACGAUUCAUGAUGUCUCACAUAAAGACUAAACCAGUCUUUUGCUAUAACAUUUCCAUUUCAAUUUGCCAAGUUCUCAUAAUUCAGAUUAUGAAAAGGGAUGCCGUAAUCAUAAUCGAAUUUUAGAACGCAAAUAAUGGACCCAUAUACAGAAUUUCCUUAUGUUGAGCCAUUCCAACAUGAAAUUCAUAUAUAUCCUUGACUAAAUGAUUAAAACCUCACGAUCUAAGCUUAUAGAUUUGAGAUGAAGCAUAAUUUCCUCUCCCUUAAUUAUAGCAAAACAACUUUUUCCCAAUUGAAACUUUUGUUUUCUAUAAUUAACAUUGCUAACUUGCAAUACUUAUCAUAAUUAUCAUGCUCCCACUAACAUGAUGAUUAUUAGCAUAACACUUAUGCUCCCACUAGCUUUGACAUGUACUCAGAAAUCAGCUGGACUUCUAGAAAUCAAUACUUCAUUGACUUUCUUACCAAAGUUCAGAUUUCUGAUGCUAGAUUGUUUUGAUAAAACUUUAUCAAAAUCAUACACCUUCCCUUAGAUAGCACACUUGUGUAUCUAAACAAUUAUGAAGAGGGAUGCCGUAAUCAUAAUGUUUAGACCUUUUUGCCACUUCUCACAAGUCCAAAUUAGUGUGCCGGUUAACCACACGCGCUCCACUAACGACUUUGAGAAUGCAAAUAUCACAAUUGCUAUCUAGCUAAAAUCUACUUAGUGAAAGUGUUUCCUCACCAUCAUUUUCAUGAAUCGGAGAGAAACCUUAUGACACUUAGAUUUAAUGGUGUAUGUGUUCUUAUCCAUGUGAAUUGUCAAAAUCAUAGUCACAAGACAAGGAUAAUGACAAAUCCAAACUCAUAUGGACUGAACUCAAUCUUAAUUUCUUGCCACCUGGCAGCUCAAGGGCCUACCAUUGCUUCCAAGUUGUUGUGCAACAAAUUGAGAACUCUAAGAACUCAUAUGCAAAGCCAACUUUAACUGGAAUGGGCACAGAAUAUGUCAACACGAUAGGUUAUGAACCUCAAGUCGUGUGCUAGUGAAGAACUUCAGGUUUUAUUCUUGAUUAGUUCUUGAGACUUUCAAGACCUUUAAGACUCCCACUGUCCUCUUGACAUAUAAGACUCCCUUGUCAAACAUCCAAGAGAUAGUGCGGAUUCUAAUCAAGAAAAACACUUUACCCAAUUGGCCUAAGUUGGUCUUUGUUUUAUCCAAAACAUCACAACUUACCAAUUUCAAAUGUACAAGAGUAGAAAACUUUUACUCUUACAUUUGACAAGUGUUUUAAACCUUCUUUAAGACAUGUCACUCAAAUGACAAUCUUGGAGUAUGACUCUAAGACUUGUAUUGGAACGAAGUAUGACUCAUCUUCUUGAUUUAACCAUUUCAACAAUUCAAGUUCCUCUUCUUAGUCAUAAGAAUGCACUAAGAUUUCCUUAGAGAACUAAUUUUGAUAUGGUUUCUUAAUCAUUAAGAUGAUCACAAAACUGAUACUAAAGUACUCUCCCAUCUUUUCAGAUUUGAGAAACUUUUAUCCUUCUGCCUUAUUUGAUUCUUCUUAUCGAUCUUUAGUGGUGGACUUAAUCAGUGCACAAGAAUGUGUACUCGAUCCCUAAGUCCUUUACUUGACUCACACAUCCAUGUGAACAAGUAAUUAGUCUUAAUUUUCCAAAACUUGAAAGUUCUCAUUCAUCAUGCUAUACAACUUGCAUGAUUCCAAGUUCCGGUCCAAUUGAAACUUGGGUGAUGAGAAUCUUUCCUUAUUUGGUAAAUUUAGACAUUACCACAAAUGAAAGAAUCAAUUUCAUACUUCCACUCUUGCUACUAAUGGAAUCUUAUAAGCAACAAAAAUUUCCACAGAUGCCAUUGUAAGGAUAUUUUAAAAUAAAUAAAAUCAAAAAUUUCCUUUUAUUUUAAAACUUUGCGGAAAAACUAUCCUUACAAUCCAUAUGAAAACUUGUUGUUAUCUAUUCCUAAGCAAUAUCUCAUAACUCCUAAGAAGUAGCUCAAGAAUCCGAUUUUUCAAACUAUGCGAUAGAAAUCCAUCUAUGCGAUCAGAUUCAGCAUAUUCUUCCUUUAAGUUUCUUCACUUUCCUUUGAUUCUUAAACCAUCACCAUGCGACCCGGUCACAUCAUGUAUCAAGAAUCUCAGAAUAGAAACUUAACAGAGUUAGAUAGUGGAUUUUACCUGAAGUAGAGUCAAACUUAUUGACUUUAACAUCCUUAGGUAAAUUUGGCAGCUUCGCAACCAAUGCCCUUUCUUUGGCAAUACAAACAUAUGGACCCUUUGAUAAUGGUACACAGGACUAUCACAGACUUAGCUUUUCUCUUUACCAUUUGGUCAACCGAGUUGACUAUAGCCGAUCCCUUUCCAUUGGGAAGAGAAUGCUUUACUGGAUAUCCAAUGUCAUCAUUGUCAAUGUCCAUAAAGUUUUAGGAAGUUGAUCUUAACAAAUAGAUAAGAUCAUUAAGGGUCUUGUCAUAGUCUUUUUCAUAGGUGUUCCAAAAGAACUCACUAUGUGACUUAGAAAGUAGUUGAACCACCAACUUUCUCAAGACUUUGACACCCAACUCUCCCGGCUUGUCAAUAUGUGACUACAUCUCCAAGAUGUGACCACACCUAGACCUUGCCUUGCCAAAAGGGCCUGAGUGACCUUAAACUUUUCAAGAACUUGUGGGUUAGGGAGAAUAAUUUGAAGAGGUGAAGAAGUAUGAUAUCCAUGGGACAUCAUCUUCAUUAGGAAACCUUGUUUCAAGAGAUUUGGGAAGAUCAUAGGUGUCUAAACCAGACAUCUUUUGGGAGAUAUUCAAGAUAGUUGAUUUAAAGUCCUUAAUAUGACACCCAAUAUGAAAUAUUAAGGCUAGGACCCAACAAACUAUUUUAUAACUUAGAAGAGGUAUGCCGUAAUCCAAGCUAUAAAAUAUUUGAAGGUAGGUGAAUGACGAUUCACCAAUUUCCACCAAGAUAAACGAAAUGUAUUAUUAGGUUUUAAUUGGUUUUGAAACUCCUAGAUCUUUGAGAUUCAUUGAACUUUUCAAAGGCAUGUUUCAAUCUCGAGUGUGCCCUUCAGGUUUUGUGACUGGGAUGCCGAGGAUCACAAAACAAGGUGUGAAGUAACCAUGCAAAUCACUUGGUACCCUUAAUAAAUUACCCCUCAAUCGAUGUGCCGGUUAACCACACACGCUCCAUCGAUACUAUGAUAAAUAUUAAGUCACCCUUUACCUACCUUGUUAAGUCCAAGUUAGUGUGCCGGUUAACCACACACGCUCCACUAACGACUUAGACAAAGUGUAAAGUGUAAUUUCAUGGAUUAGCACCUUAUUCACAUUUUUCCUAAGUAACUAAGAUUGGGUAUUAUUAAGAGUUUAGUUACUUAGUAUUAUCAUUAAUACUUUUAAUGAAGGGAGAAUUCUAGUCCUGUCAAACCCGUUCGGCUAACGACCCUCCACCAGUCAAGCAAGCGGUGGGUGAGAGUGGACACCCAUUAAGUUGCCAUUUUAUAGGCAACAACCUUAUACCCACCUUAUAGACCGGCUUCGUGAAUGAGGCGUACUAGCGGUAAGACUGACUUUACUCUUAUACAUAUAUAUAUUAUUAACUUAUAAUAUUAUAAAGUAUAAGGGUUGAAUUUUAACUUUUAAAAUUCUAAGGGCUAACUUGGAAUUAAAGUAUUCAUAAGUGAAAACUUUACAAAUUCCAAAACUUGAGGGCAAGUUUUGAAACUAUUCAAAACUAAUUAAUUCCAUAACUUAUGUGUUUAAAGUAGUUUUAAUCCAAAAACUCUUCAAGUUCCAUAACUUGAGGACAAGUUAUGGAAGACUUUAAACUAAUAAAAGAAUUAACUUUUCUUUAUUUUAUAACUUAUGGAAUUAAUUAAGGUUACACUUUUUUUUUUUUUAUUUUAUUUUAUUAAAUGAAGAGACUCUUGGUCCUCCAUAACUUGAGGACAAGUUAUGGAGUCAUAAAACCAUUUAAUUAGAACUAGACUCUUCAUUUUUGUAACCUUUGCCAAUUUUUAUGAGUUUUAUGAUUCUUAAAUGUGACUUUUCAUAUAACUUGAGGACAAGUUACAAAAACACAUUUUAGAAUCAAUUCUUAGAUUAAUUUGGAUUAAAACCAACUAUCACAUAAUUUUAUUCAUUAAUCUAAAUUCACUCAUAAAACAAGGUAACACAAAAAACUUUUGGUGAUCCAUAACUUAUUCUUAAGUUAUGGAAUCCUUUAAAACAUUAACACCAAAUUUUGUAACUCCAAAAAAACUUUGAAUCAAUUUUUUUUUUAAAACCUUUUCAUAUCCAUAACUUAUGGAGGUUUCAAAAAAUAAAACUCUUUAGAUCAAACUUUUAAAACUAAUAAAAUAAUCAUAUUAUUUUAUCUUUUAUUAAAUUUGACCUAAUUCAACUCAUAAAGCAAAUUAUUCAAAUUUUACAAAUAAUUAGUUUUUCACAAGAACAAGUAAUUAUCUUAAAAUUUGACAAACUUCAUGUUUUUUUUUUUUUUUUUUUUCAACUUUGAAAAUAAAAUAUUUGCAUCAAUAUAACAGAAAACAACCCGUGGCUCUGAUACCACUGUUGGGUUUUGAGCAUUCUAACACUUCCUAAGUGUACAUGCAACCCUAAAUACCUUGGAUCUAUGUUUUCUCUAUUAUACAUGCAAAUAAGAACUUCCAAGGUAUUAUCCUAAUCUAGCAUAUAAAAUAAUGAAUAUAACAAGAUAGAAUACAUACCUCUUUCAUGUAGAAAGUCUUCAUGAAGCUUGAGUGCCAAGUGCCCCAAGUGUGACACCUAAAAUGGUUCACACAACACCAAAUACACUUGGAAUAACUUGAGAGAAUUCUACACUUCAUGAAAAUCGGCAAGCCCUCUCUAUAUAGUGUUACAAUUAGGGUAAACCCUAAUUGUCAUGACUUUCCAUUUCCUUGGAUCCAUGGGUUCAAAUACACCAUGGAGCAUCCAUGGACCAUCCUAUGGGUUUUAGCCCAACUUGAUUAUCCAUGGAGCAUUAGCCCACUAUACAAGUAUGGAUGAUUUACACAAUCAACCCAUAUAUUUAAUUAGUCUUCUUUUGAUCACUUAAUUAAUCCUAGAUUAAUUCUUGAUCAAUACUAAUUAAAUAAUCUUAUUAUUCUUAUUAUUAAUAUACUGGAACUUAUAAUAUAUUAAUAACCAUAAGUGUCUUAUUUCUCUCAUUAUAGUCUAUCCAAAUGCAUGAUUCCAUGCAACCCAAAUGGACCAUGUCGGGUCGGGUCAAGUCUUACCAAUUAUAGUUAUGGACUUAGACAUUAAUCCAACACUCUGUUUUGUUUAUUAUACAUGCAAAUAUGAAUAUUCCAAGGUAUUACCCUAACUAGCAUACAAUCUUUUGAUACUUGGGUAAUAAAAUGGAUAGAAUACAUACCUUGUUGAUGCAGCUUGACUCCAUGAAGCUCGAGAGCCUAGUUCCCCAAGUGUGACACCUCAAAUGGUUCAAACAACAUCACCAACACAUGGAAUAACCAUGAGAAAAAGACACAUGAACUCUAGAAAUCGGCUUGCCCUCUUGUGUAUACACUCGUGCCCAAUUUCACCAACCAAUGGGGUCUUUAUAUUGUGUGGCUAUUAGGGUUACACCACAUAAGUCAUGACUUUACCCAUUCCUUAUGCUCCAUGGGUUUUAACCUCCAUGGAGUAUCCCUGGGUCACCACAUGGGUUAAAACCAACAUAAGGAAUCUUGGAUCAUAAGCUCACAUAUAUAAGAAUUAAUGAUUUACACAGUCAAUCCCCAUAUAUUUAAUUAGUCUCUUUUGAUCACGAAAUGAAGUCCAAAUUAAUUCUUGAUCAAUACUAAUUAAAUAACAUGAUUUCAUAUUAAUAUAUUAGAACUUAUAAUAUAUUAAUUUGUCACAAAUGUCCUCUUCUCACAAACGGUCUAUCCAAAUGUUCCGAUGCCAUGCAACCCAAUGCGGUCACAAACGGUCUAUCCAACAGUCUCCCACUUGGAUAAGUCUAAAACUAUUAUUGAGUAUGACUUUCAAAACCAAACUGGCAAUCGUAGCUCUCAAAAGCCGUUGUCGAACUCUGACCUUGUCGAUGAACUCUGACCUUUUUCAAUGACUUGUCCAUUUGAUAAGGGAUCAUAUAUUCCUCCAUUCUAGAUAUCAUAUGGACUGAGACAUGGAUUAUAAUUCAUUCUCUCUGUCCAUUUGUUGUUUCCCGAUUUCCAAUUUAUGAUGACUGGCUGAUUGAACAGAUCAAAUCAGUCCUGGCUUGGCCAAGCACUCACAUGUGUCAUCAUUAAAUCAUUGAGGGGCCCACAGAUAUCACUUUUAUCCCGAUGGUAGAAGGAAUGGAUAAACUUCGACUCAUAUGGCUUGUUCUACUACUUGUUGAAUCAUACACAAAGGCACGUUUUAUAACAUCGAUUUACCAAUGCAUUUUAGUGCAAUCAAUGUAUAACCAACUCAUAGUAACAAAUAAUAUCUGUAGGUUUGAAGAAUAUAAGAUAUUAUCGUCUCAUGAUCACUCGUGAUAAAAUCCAUGAAGUGAUUCCAAUGAGCGUGGGUUGAAUCCAAUACUUAGAACUUAGGAGCACUCAUGAGUGGUGUAACACCACUUUGUCCAACAACUUAGACCUCUACAAGCCAACCCAAGACAGUCUUGAUUCAUAUCUACUUCCAACAUAUGACCGAUUGUGGAUAGUUUGAAUAACUUAGUAAUUCAGGAAGAACGACCUAGUUAUUCUGGAAGUCAAAACAUGCAAAGUGAAACACAAGAAUAAUUGAAUCCAAUAUGGUCUCAGAACUUAUGAAUAUAAAUAAAACAUUUUUUAUUUAUCACCAUAUUGAUUACCCAUCAUUCAUUGCAUACUGUUUCAAACUAUCAACAUUAUACUUGAAUUAAAACAAUAGUUGUCCCAUGCUCCAAGCAUGUACACUAUGUUUUUCUAAACACUAGUCAUACCAUACACUAAGUAUGCAUACUAAGUUUUUUUUAAUGAUCUUUACUUUGUGAAAGAGAUCGAUUGAACAUAAUUCCAAUGAUUCUCAUUUCACACUCCCAAUCCUUACCGUAAAUGCAGGAAUUCCAAAUUCAUGCCAUUUACCGAAAUCUGUUAGAUUCUAAACUUAUAUGCGUUGAUCCUCUUGUAAUGAUUAUGCACAAAGUCACAAAGACUUGACAACAAACAUUACAGAGCAUUCCAAAGGAGAUCAACUCCUUGGAAACAUCCUUCUUGCAUUAAGUUUCCUAAUCUUACACAUAUUUAUUGAACAACUUCCACCUUCCCAUACUCCCAUUUUGACUAUCACUUCUUAACAAGAGUUGCCUUUUUUCAGAAUAUGUCAAUAUGGUCCUUCCAAAAUUAACAUUAUACUUCCAACUGUCCCUGAUCAACCAAUCUUUGGUAAACCUUAGAUUGUCCUCGACAAUUGCUUAAUCCUUUUAGUCAUAUCCAAUUCUAAACCUUUCCUUUCUUAAUGCCCCAGGCAUUUGGAAAAUUUUAGAAAUGAUGAAUAUUAUAGCACAUGUAAUCGAUCCUAUAUCCGAAGCAUAUGGGACACUAUUCAUGAUGUCUCACAUAAAGACAUGAUACUAGACUAGUCCUUUUGCUACAAUAUUUCUGUUUGCCAAGUUCUCAUAAUUCAGAUUAUGAAAAGGGAUGCCGUAAUCAUAAUCGAAUUUUAGAACGCAAAUAAUAGACCCAUAUAUAGAAUUUCCUUAUGUUGAGCGCAACACAAAAUUCAUAUAUAUUGUUGACUAAAGAUGAUUAAAACCUCAAUCUAAGCUUUUAGAAUUGGAAUGAAGUAUAAUUUCCUCUCCCUUAAUUAUAGCAAAACAAUUUUUCAACUCCUGCAACUCCACGAAUUGAAACUUUUGUUUUCUAUAAUUAACAUUGCUAACUUGCAACCUUUAUCAUAAUUAUGAUUCUCCCACUAACAUGAUGAUUAUUAGCAUAUCACUUAUGCUCCCACUAGCUUUGACAUGUACUCAGAAAUCAGCUAGACUUCUAGAAAUCAAUAUUUUAUUUACUUUCUUACCAAAGUUCAGACUUCUGAUACGAGAUGCUUUGAUAAAAACUUUAUCAAAAUCAUACACCUUUCCUUAGAUAGCAUGCAGGUGUGUCUAAACAAUUUCAAAACUAUGAAAAGGGAUGCCGUAAUAGAAAUCUGUCAAAACGAUAGGUUAUAAACCUCACGUCGUGUGCUAGUGUUAAACUACGAGUUUUUAUUCUUGAUUAGAUCUUGAAAUUCUUUUCAGGAUCUUUAAGACUCCCACUGUCCUCUUCACAUAUAAGACUAUCUUGCUAACUAUUCAAGAGAUAGUGGAGAUUCUUUAUCAAGGCAAACACUUCACACAAUUGGCCUUAGUUGGUCUUUGUUUUAUCCAAAACAUCACAACUUACCAAUUUCAAAUGUACAAGAGUAGGAUGCUUUUACUCUUACAUUUGACUAGUGUUAAGAAACCUUCCUUUAAGAUUGAUAUUUCACUCAAGUUACAAUCUUGGAGUAUGACUCUAAGAAUUGUUUUUGGAACGAGGUAUGAAUCAUCUUCUUGAUUUGACCACUUCAACAAUUCAUAGCUCCUCUUCUUAGCUAUCAGAAUGCACUUAGAGGAUGAAUUGUGAUAAGGUCUAUUAAUCAUUAAGACGAUCAUAUAACAUGAUACUAAAGUACUCUCCCAUCUUUUCAGAUUUGAGAAACUUUUAUCCUUCUGCCUAAUUUGAUUCUUCUCAUUCGUUUUGCAAUACAUCAAAAUUUUCCCAAUGUAUCAGAAUUACACUUAAACUGGUAAGUAUAACCAUAUUUACUAAACUUUAGUUAAACAUGAUGAAUAUUCUUAUCGAUCUUUUGUGGUGUACUUGAUCAGUGCACAAGAAUGUGUAUUCGAUCCCUUAGUCCUUCACUUGACUCACAUAUACAUGUGAACAAGGAACUAGUCUUAAUUUUCCAAAGCUGAAAGUUCUCAUUCAUCUUACUGUACAACUUGUAUGAUUUCCAAGUUUCUAUCCAACUGAAACCUUGGAUGAUGAGAAGCUUUCCUUAUUUGGUAAAUUUAGACACUAUCACAAAUGAUAGGAUCAAAUUCAUAUUUUCAAUAUUGCUAGAAACAUACAAACAUCAAGUUUUCAUAAAUGCCAUUGCAAGGAGAUAUAAAAUAAAGUAAAAAAACUUUUAUUUAUUUAUAAAAUGCGGAAAAAACUUUUCUUUACAAUGCAACUUUAAAUGAAAACUAUGCUAUUACAUGUUUCCUAGCAAUCUAUCAUAACUCCUAAGAGUUGCUCAAGAAUCUGAUCUUUAAUCAAGCAAUAAAAAUACAUCUUCACGAUCAGAUUCAGCAUACUCUUUUUUUUUAAGUUUCCUUCACUUUUCCUUUGAUUCUUAAAACAUGAACAUGUGACCCAGUCACAUCAUGUAAUAAGAAUCUCAGAAUAGAAACUUAACCGAGUUAGAUAGUGGGCUUUACCUGAAGUAGAGUCAAACUUAUUGACUUUACCAGCCUUAUGAUCUUCAGGUAUAUUUGGCAGUUUCGCAACCAAUUCCCUUUCCUUUUGGCAAUAGAAGCAUAUGGACCCUUUGGGAAUGGUACAUGGGAUAAUCUCAGACUUAGCCUUUCUCUUUACCAUUUGGUUAACCAAGUUGACUAUGGCCAAUCGUUUUCAACAGGGAAAAGAAAGCUUUUACUGGGUAUCCAAUGUAACCAUUGUCAAUAUCCAUUGAUGGUUUGGAAAGUUGAUCUUCUAAUCAAAUUUUCUUUACUAGUCCUUAAAUCAUUUCUGAUUCAGCUGCACUAAGCAAAUAGAUAAGAUCAUUAAGGGUCUUGUCAUAGUCUGUUUCAUAGUAGUCCCAAAGGAACUCACUAUGUGACUUAGAAAGUGAUUAAACAUCCAACUUUCUUAAGACUUUGACACCUAACUCUCCCGGGUUGUCAAUAUGUGACUUUAUCUCCAAGAUGUGAGCACACAUAGACCUUGCUUGCCAAAAGGGCUAGAGUGACCUUGAACUUGUGGGUUAGGGAGAAUAUUUAGAGGAGGUGAAGUUUCAAGAGAUUUGGGAAGAUCAUAAAUGUCUGAACCAAACAUCUUUUUGGGAGAUAUUCAAGAUAGUUGAUUUAAAUUACUUAAUAUAACACCCAAUAUGAAAUAUUAAGGCUAGGACCCAACACAAUAUUUUAUAACUUGGAAGAGGGAUGUCGUAAUCCAAGCUAUAGAAUAUUUGAAGGUAGGUGAAUGAUGAUUCACCAAUUUCCACCAUGAAAAACAAAAUAAUGUAUUAGGUUUUAAUUGGAUUUGAAACUCCUAGAUCUUUUGAGAUUCAUUGAACUAUUUAAUGUCAUGUUUCAAUCUCGAGUGUGCCCUUCAAGUUUUGUGACUGGGAUGCCGAGGAUCACAAAACAAGGUGUGAAGUAACCAUGCAAAUUACUUGGUACCCUUAAUAUUUACCCCUUAAUCGAUGUGCCGGUUAACCACACGCACUCUACCGAUACUAUGAUAAACAUUAAGUUACCCUUUUCCUACCUUGUUAAAUCAAGCUAGUGUGCCGGUUAACCACAUAUGCUCCACUAACCGACUUAAGCAACGUGCAAAGUGUAAUUUCAUGGAUUAGCACCAUAUUCACAUUUUCCUAAAGUAAAUAAGAUGGGGAAUUAUAAAAAUAUUUAGUUACUUUAUAUUUAUCAUUAAUACUUUUAAUGAAGGGAGAAUUAUAGUCCUUGUCCUACCAGUUCGGCAAAGACCCUCCACCAGUCAAGGAAGCGGUGGGUGAGAGUGGACACCCAUUAAACUGCCAUUUUAUAUGCAGUAACCUUAUACCCCNGUAUAUGGGUUGAAUUUUAACUUUUAAAAUUCUAAGGGCUUAACUUGGAAUUAAAGUAUUCAUAAGGGAAAACUUUUCAAAUUCCAAAACUUGAGGGAAAGUUUUGAAACUAUUCAAAACUAUUCAAUUUUCAUAACUUAUGUGUUUAAAGUAGUUUUAAUCCAAAAACUCUUCAAGUUCCAUAACUUGAGGACAAGUUAUGGAAGACUUUAAACUAUUAAAAGAACGUGACUUUUCUUUAUUCAUAACCUAUGAAAAUAUUUAUGAGUUUUAUGAAUCUUAAAUUUGAAUUUUCAUAUAACUUGAGGACAAGUAACAAAAACACAUUUUAGAAUCAACUCUUAGAUUAAUUUGGAUUGAAAACAAUAAUUUCACAUAACUUUCCUAUUAAUCUAAGCAACUCAGAAGAACAAGAUAAUUCAAAUCAAACUUUUUCAUGUAAUUAGCCUAAACCUUAAACUAAUACAAAACAUGAAUCUAUUGACAAUUAUCUUUGAAAUUGGAUUAGCAUGAACAUUACCACAUCAAAAACAGGUUUAUAAGUUGAAAAAUAGCUCAGGGUAAUGUUCCUAGUCCAUUUCCAGCCAAAACAGUCAAAGAUAUGCUGUCUGGGGGUCCAACUUGUCGAGUGCAUGAACCAACUCGACGAGUUGGAUCGUUUUGAACACUUUUAUGGCAUGGAAUCGUUGAGUCAACUGAUGGACUCGCCGAGUCCGUUGUCCAGACAGCAAAAAACUUCGAUUUUUAAGCAGAUUUUGCAAGUAUAACAAGAAAACAAGCCUAGGCUCUGAUUCCACUGUUGCGUUUUUGAGCAUUCUAACACUCCUAAGUGUACAUGGAACCCUAAAUACGUUGGAUAUAUGUUUUCUUUAUUAUACAUGCAAAUAUGAAUAUUCCAAGGUAUUACCCUAACUAGCAUACAAUCUUUUGAUAAAAUUGGGUAAUAAAAUGGAUAGAAUACAUACCUUGUUGAUGUAGCUUGACUCCAUGAAGCUCGAGAGCCUAGUGCCCCAAGUGUGACACCUCAAAUGGUUCACACAACAUCACCAACAUAUAGAAUAACCAUGAGAAGAAGACACAUGAACUCUAGAAAUUGGCUUGCCCUCUUGUGUAUACACUCGUGCUCAAUUUCACCAACCAAUGGGGUCUUUAUAUAGUGUGGCUAUUAGGGUUACACCAUGUAAAUCAGGACUUUACCCAUUCCUUUUGCUCCACGGGUUUUAACCUCCAUGGAGUAUCCAUGGGUCACCACAUGGGUUAAACCCAACAUAAGGAAUCUUGGAUCAUCAACCCACGUAUAUAAGAAUUAAUGAUUUACACAAUCAAUCCCCAUAUAUUUAAUUAGUCUCUUUUGAUCACUAAAUUAAGUCCAAACUAAUUCUUGAUCAAUACUAAUUAAAUAACAUGAUCUCAUAUUAAUAUAUUAGAACUUAUAAUAUAUUAAUAUGUCACAAAUUUCCUCUUCUCACAAACGGUAUAUCCAAAUGUUCCGAUGCCAUGCAAUCCAAAUGGACCAUGCCGAGUCGGGUCAUGUACAUACCAAUUAUAGUUAUGGAUUUAGACACUAAUCCAACAAGAGUACCCAGACGUAUUUCCAGAGGAGCUGCCUGGGAUACCUCCGGAGAGACAGGUGGAGUUCAGGAUCGACCUAGUCCUUGGUGCGGCUCUGAUAGCCAAGGCACCAUAUCGGUUGGCUCCUCCUGAGAUGCAGGAGUUGUCUUCACAACUGUAGGAGCUGUUAGAUAAGGGGUUUAUCAGACGGAGCAGUUCGGCUUGGGGAGCCUCGAUCAUGUUUGUGAAGAAGAAGGACAGGUCGCAUCAGAUGUGUAUAGACUACAGGGAGCUGAAUAAAGUAACAGUGAAGAACCGUAACCCACUCCCGAGGAUUGAUGAUCUUUUCGACCAGCUUCAGGGGCAUCUUGGUUUUCCAAGAUAGAUUUUCGUUCAGGCUACCACCAGAUGCGAGUCAGAAACGAUGAUGUACAGAAGACUGCUUUUCGUACUCGUUAUGGCCACUACGAGUUCGUGGUGAUGCCCUUCGGGCUCACCAAUGCUCCUUCCGCGUUCAUGGACCUCAUGAACCGCGCAUGCAGAACGAUGUUGGAUCGUUCUGUGGUAGUCUUUAUUGAUGACAUCUUGGUUUACUCCAAGAUGUAGGAGCAGCACAAGGAGCACUUGCGGGAGGUUAUGGAUACCCUGAGGAAGGAGAGCUUGUAUGCCAAGUUCUCCAAGUGUGAGUUCUGGUUCCGCAAGGUGCAGUUUCUGGGGCAUCUUGUCAACCAGAAUGGUAUUUUGGUCGACCCGCCCAAAGUAGAGGUCGUGAUGACAUGGGAGGUUCCAAAGUAUCCAUUUGAGAUUCAGAGUUUCCUCGGGUUAGCAGGCUAUUACCGAAGAUUCAUACAUGAUUUCUCCAAGAUAACAGUACCCUUGACCCGACUGACAAAGAAGGUCGUUGUUUUUCGAUGGGGGCCUGAGCAGCAUGAAAUGUUUGAGACUUUGAGAAAGAGAUUGUGCGAGGCACCGAUCUUAUCCCUGCCAGAGGGCGUAGAGGAUUUUGUAGUCUACUGUAACGCGUCCAUCUCGGGUUUGGGCGCAGUAUUGAUGCAGAGGGGGUAUGUCAUCGCUUACGCCUCGAGGCAGCUGAAGCCUCACGAGGCGAACUACCCGAUGCAUGAUCUGGAGUUGGGGGCGGGUUUUUUCGCCCUCAAUAUUUGGUGACAUUAGCUCUAUGGGGUCCGUUGUACCAUUUACAUGGAUAAAAAGAGUUUAAGGUACCUCAUGGAUCAGCCGAAUCUGAACAUGAGGCAGUGUCGGUGGCUAGACGUGGCGAAGGAUUACGACUGCGAGAUCCUCUACCACCCGGGGAAGGCCAACAUUGUGGUCGAUGCUCUUAGCCGCAAGGCAGUUCCGAUCAGAGAUAUUUGCUUGCGGAUGACAGUAAUGACUCCGCUGUUAGAGCUGAUCUAAGAGGCCCAACAAGAGGCUAUGAAGGAGGAUUAUUGGAAGAGCGAGCGUAUUGUGGGCAAGGUUUCCUCCUUCAACUAUGAUAGUCGCAGGUUGUUGACACUACACCGUAGAGUGUAGGUCCCAUAUCAUGGAGGUGCGCUCCAGGUUCUGAUGGAGGAGGCACACAAAUCCAGUUUUUUUCUAUUCAUCCCGGGGCGACGAAGAUGUACAGAGAUCUUCGCCCUGAUUACUGGUGGCCUUGCAUGAAGCGGGAUGUAGCAUGGUACGUCGAGAGACGCUUGACCUGCAGGAAGGUCAAGGCAGAGCACCAGAGGCCUCACAACAAGACGCAAUCAUUAGAUAUCCCUGUGUGCAAGUGGGAGGAUAUUACUAUUGAUUUGAUCACGAAGCUUCCAAGGACCGCCCGAGGAGUGGAUUCGAUUUGGGUCAUCAUGGAUCGGUUGACCAAGAGUGUCAAUUUCAUCCCGAUCCAGGAGAGUAUUUCGGCCGAGAAACUGGCCGACAUUUACAUCCGAGAGGUAGUAGCUUGACACGGAGUGCCAAUUUCCAUGAAUUAUGAUCGAGACGUGCAAUUUACUUCUAGAUUCUGGAAGAAAUUCCAUGACGAGUUAGGUACUCGUCUGCAUUUUAGCACGAGUUUUCACCCUCAAACGGAUGGUCGGAGUGAGCGGACCAUCCAAACCUUAGAUUACAUGCUGCACACAUGCAUAUUAGACUUUGGUGGUAGUUGGGAUACCUACCUUCCCUUGGCAGAGUUUUCUUACAAUACUAGCUACCACUCGAGUAUCGACCGUCCUCCCUUCGAGAUGUUGUAUGGGAGGAAGUGCAGGACCCCGAUAUGCUGUGGAGAGGUCGGGUAGAGGUUCAUGUGACAACCAUCACUUUCUAGUCAAGUCAAAGUCAAAUAAAGUCAACAAGUCAAACCGGUCAACUCAAUUAACACAUGUAUAUUAGGGUUUACAUUAUGUUUACUAUUGUACAACACACCAUCCUAAUGCAAAUCAUCACUUAGAGUUUUCAGUUGUUCAGAAAAUCUAAACCCUAAUCAGGGUAAGUGAUGGAACUACUCGAUAAAACAUUAUUACAUACCCUUCGGGAGCGUAUAACACUCAUAAAAAGGCUUAAUGGGGUUUACAAACCUUGCAUCACGAGGCUAAACAUUAACAAAGGUCACAAACAAAGUCUCUCUCACUCUCUCUCUCGCUAUAUCUCUCUCCCAAAUCUCUCUCAAAAUCUCUUUCAACUGAACACUCAGGGCAUCCCGACCCCUAACAUAGUCAAAAAUCACUCGAAACGGGAAGAGUAAUGGAAAAACAGCUUAAAGGGGGCUAAGCCUCUUAGGACCCGAAGCUAGCCAUAAGGAACUGAACCCUAAGGAACCAAAACCCUAAAGAUCGAAAUAGCUCUUAAGAACUGAACCUGCUUAAGGACCGAACUCAUCCUUCGGUUCGGAUCAAGCCUCUUCGGACCGAAGCUUCGUCUGCUUUUGGUUCAUUUCGCCUUCACUUCCCACAUAAUACCUUCGCCUGUGAGACUUAUCGGAUCAACCUACUUUCGGUUCUCAACCUCCUUGGACUGAACUUUUGGUUCUAACCAUCAAAACUUCGCAGGUUCGCCUCUUGGUCCCGGUUUUCGACCACUUUCGCGUUUUAAGCCCGUUUUUCAUGAUUUUAACGUGGGAUUUUCACCCAAACUCAUAUUUUGACAUAUAAGACCCCAUAUAUUCAUAUUUUAAUCAUAUUUUAGGGGAAAUCUCUAACUACGGAUAAUAUCUUUUGUGUAAGAUAUUGUCUAAGAGUGUUGACUUUUCCCAUAAAGCUAUGACACCAACCACUCCCAUACCCACUCCACGACAUAUUCAUGUCACUAUUCACCUGUAUCUAAUCAACUAUCUGUACUCUCACCCUUCUUCAACAAGUUUCCACACCUUCUAUCUUACAAGCAAAGCCUAGAAAUCCUUAUCUCUCCUCCAUGAUAUUCACUUCUCACCUAAAGCAAAUUUAUCUCUCUUUUUCCCUUUCUCUCUCUAAAAACUCGAAACUCAAGGGCUGAUCUUGAGCUUAUCAUCCACUUUUGGUAAGUACCUUCAUCCUACUCUUGAAUAUUCUACUCUCCUUCACACAAAUCAUGGAUCUCUCACACAAAUAUUAUCAUAUUUGUUCUUAGGAUCUUCAAAUCUUCAAGCAUCUUCCAAGUGUUCUUGACUUGGAAAAGUAUUUUCUUCAACAUCCAUCCCAAGAAAUCACUCAAGGUGAGUUUAUACCCCUAAAUUUUCAUGUUUUCUUCAAGUUUUAGGGGGGGCGGGGGNAGCUUUCACAGAAAAGUUGAGUUCUAUUCACGGACUGUUUUGACCAUCUUAAACUUAAUAUCUUUCAAAACUGUUUAAUAUGCAAGUAGUUCAGGUUUAUACCUUUCUAAUGACUACUUUCACAUGUUCAUACAAUUUUUCUACUAUUUAUGGAGAUUUUUACAAAACUGUCUAUCAUUUUAGCAACAAAUUCGGACCGGUCUGUGAAUAUGAACAUUUUCACACAAGUUAGAGACUUCUAAAAAAUCACAAUAAAAAUUAUGAACAAACUAGACACAUUUUCUAAACUCUUAGAGUUUACGGAUUCAGUUUUCGACUUCGUAUGAUUUUUCUGUGAUUUUUCUAAAACAAUGCCGAAAAGUUAAAAACUAGUUUCAUAGCUUACAAUAUUAACAACACUUUGUAACAUGUUGAGCAAAGUGUAUACUUAUAAGUUUCUAAAUGUUGAAAUGUAUUUCUUGUUAGUUUAACGUCAUAAAAAGAAAUUAGUCAUUCAUGAUAAGGGUUUUCAUUCGCUUCGAACACGUACAAUAAACUAUAAUAGGUAUAGUUUAUGGAUUUUACAUUACAAACGUACUACAUAAAAGGGGAUUUACUUCCACCGCAGAAAAGGUCUUAUAUUCAAACCACACGUAAAUUCGUUAAUGUAAAUUGUGAGACAUUGCUUCAUUGUACUCAUAGAGUACCGGUUAAAAUUCCUGUAAGUUAUAACCAGUGUCUCUUGUAAGGAGAGCGUGAUAAUUGUAUAUAGAUCUAUAUUGGGAUUGACACCCCACACCUUGCUGCUAGCUACAGUGGUACCUGUAGGUCUACGGGUGACAAAUGUCAUAACAGUUUCGACGCCUGAAGAACGUCGCAACAGGUUUACUCUGUCAUAGUAUGGUAAUAGCGACUCGCAUAGGGAGAUAAUGACACAUAUAGUUUACAGGAAUUUCUACUUUAAAAAGGGUUUUAUUUACUUUAAAACUGCAUACAACGUUACAAGUACGUAACACAUACAUACAUUCGGUCUUGGGAUUUAAGACUACAUAACAUUUUAUAAGGAAAACAUUGGAUUUUUCUUGAAGUAUACAUUACAAUUACAAUCAAAGGUUUUCAAACUUUACAUCCAAAAGCAGAAGAGCUACGCCGGCAAAUGUCGAUCGGACCUGGAGUUCCAGGUCGGGAAUUGGGUUCUCAUGAAGGUGCCACCUUGGAAAGGUGUCAUCCGGUUAAAUAAGCGGGUCAAGUUAGGCCCAUGUACAUUGGACCAUUCAAGGUUUCAGCCCAGGUGGGCAAGGUGUCGUAUAGGCUGGAUCUCCUAGCCGAGCUUAGCCAGAUCCAUAGUAUCUUUCAUGUCUCCCAGCUGUGGAAGUGUCUGGUAGACGACUCUGCGGUGGUACCUCUAGAGGAUAUCCAGGUCGACGACAGCCUGAACUACAUUGAGGAACCGGUAGCCAUCCUUGAUAGGAAGAUGAAGGAUCUGAGAAACAAGAAGGUCGAGUUGGUGAAGUUGUAGUGGCAGCACCGCAAGGGAUCAGAAUGGACUUAGGAGCCAGAGGACGAGAUGAGGGAGCACUACCUCGAGCUUUUUCUGGAUGCAACAACAGACUUAGAGGACGAAGUCUAAAAUGAGUUGUGGAGAUUUGUAACGCCCAGUUCCUGGUAUGUAUUUUCAAUAAGAAUUUUUUAUUUUUGCAAAGGGACUCGAGUAGGAAAGGGAGAAGUUUGGACAUGGGACUUAAAGUAUACUAGACGAGUCGAGGAGCCUCGACUCUAUGAGUAGAACUGCCAGAGUGAAACCCUAAAUUUUUAGGUUUUGCACCCUAUCUACUCCUAAUCCUUAAUUCCACAUAUGUACACGAUAGAACUUGAACCCUCAACCUGAAGGAGGAAGGGCAACACCUGAUACCGUUGGGCUCGAAGCCCUUUGGUGUCUUUCAUUUUCUAUUCCAUGCUUCCACUACUUAAAACCCUAUAGUGUAACAACGGAAAAUUUAAAACAAAUUUUUUAUUUCUUAAAAUAUAUUUCCAUCACAUAAGUCAUCAAAAUCCAAUGUAUCAUGUCAUAAUACAAUCGUAUAAAUCCCAAGAUCAUAAAUCUUCCAUCAGUGUGUACAGAUCACGCCGGCGCCUUCCCACGGUCCUCGCUAGUACCUGAAACACAUAUCAUAAAAUCUGUAAGCAUAACUGCUUAGUGAGUUCCCCAAAAUACAACCUACGCACGUACGCCUUUCCAGGACCUGACCUUCUGGUCCAUGUAUCUCAGGGGACUUCCGUUCCGACUAGGUAGACCUUCCGGUCCUACCCACGCCAACCUUACGGUCCACAUUACAACGCCUUCCGGCCCAUAACAUAUUCGCCUUCCGGCCCAUAACAUAAUGCCUUCCGGCCCAUAUCAAGCAUAUCAUACAUGGCACAUAUAACAAUUAACUUAUCACAUAUAACACAUAUAUCUCAUAUCAUAUCCGACCUUCCGGUCACACAAUCAACCCUUUCGGGUAUAGUAUAGUGAGAAGACUCACCUCGAGUAUCUCGAUAACUCGCGAAUCCUGGAAAUCACUCGUGCUCGAUCCUCCGAGCUAUAAUCCUCCUAUAACAUCAUAUGUCUCAUAAUUAACACUUUUACCACUAAGGUUGACUACCCCUAUCAAGUCAACACUGGUCAACUCUGGUCAACGGUCAACGGUCAACUUUGACCGGACUCGGCGAGUGCACUAGAGCGACUCGGCGAGUCUAUACGUGUUCACUGACUCCCUAGGAUCCUCUUUUGACACGUCGAGUACUUCCCUGACUCGACGAGUUCCACCUGGCAUGAAUCGUGGGGCCACCACGACUCAACUCGCCGAGUCUCAAGAACAACUCGGCGAGUUCCAGCUCGACUCAGUCCACCUGUCAACCCUCUCUAACUCUCCCUGACUCACUGAGUCAACCCUUAACUCGGCAAGACCACUCGCUGAGUGGUUAAGGACAAUCUUCAUGCUACUCGCCGAGUCUGUUCUUCAGACUCGGCGAGUCCAUGCCAUGCAUCAACUCAAACUUGCUUCUGAGGUCAGAUCCGCUCCAACAAUUCAUAGAUCUGGCCCUCCUAAGUUUAUUCAUCACGUAAAGUUCAUGUCUUGGUGCUCAUAACACAUUCCAUGGCUCAUAAAUGAUGUUUUGACCUUAAGCAUAAAGAUCCAAACCCGAAACCCCCAUGGAUCUAUAAAAAGUUGGGACAGAGGGACACUCUGGGCCUCCAAGGGUCCAGAUCCAGAACCUAAGUCACUAAAGGGACCAAGGAAGCACUAGAUCUAGCCACAAAAGGCUCAAUAAGCCUUAAAUCAAUAUAAACAUCAACAUAACAGAGAAUAGCUCGAAGGUAGUACCUCAAAUGUGAUGUUCUGGACCUCAAAUCUUCAGGAAGUGGCUCCUCUUGAUUUCCCUUAGCUAUUGCUUCCUUUUCCUUGCAAUGUAACACCUCCAAUGUCAAUAAUGGCUCCUUGCUUUGCUCCAAACGCUCAAACUCGCUAGGGUUUCACUCAGGGGGCUGGUGGGUACAAAUGACGGCCUUAAGGCCCUUUAAAUAGGUCCCAAACCCGAGAAAUUAGGGUUUCAUUAAACAGCGCGGACUCGCCGAGUCCAUACCCUGGACUCGCCGAGUCCAGGCGCGAACCCGCGUCCAGAACCGCGAUCCUACCCGGCGAGUCUGAGCUCCAACUCGCCGAGUCCCCUCACAAAAAACCAAAAACAUAAGCAUAAAAGAUACCUGGAAAUCCGGGCUGUUACAUAUAGAAUAAGAACAUGCAUAAAGAAAUAAAAAAAAAAACUAGUUUGAUUUUUUCUGAUGCUAGUUUAUUCACGUAUUUUGGAAGCCAAAAAGGAAGAAAAAUGGUAGCCCCUUUUUUUUUGUAGAUAUGUGUCUUAAAAACCUUUAUAAAAUGACAUUACAUAUACAACAUUUUUUCCUUCUUUGUCAAAGUUUCAUUAUUAUAAGAAGAGCAAACUUCUAAAGNUAUAUAUAUAUAUAUAUAUAUAUUGUAAUGCCCGGUUCCUGGUAUGUAUUUUAAAUAAGAAUUGUUCAUUUCUGCAAAGGGACUCAACUAGUGGAAGCCCCAAACUCGUCGAGUAGGAAAGGGAGAAGUUAGGACGUAGGACUUAAAGUCUACUCGACAAGUUGAGGAGCCUGGACUCGAUGAGUAGGACUGCUAGAGUGAAAGCCCAAUUUUUAGGGUUUGCAUCCUAUUUGAAGACCUUAACACUCCAUUUUGGCCUCUCUCAUCGCCUCCCUUAGUCCAGAAAACCUUAACUCGAAACCCUAGCCCAUUUUGUUUGUUCUUGAGCCACUGUUGUGUGUUUUUGGUGGUGUUGAAGCUUGAGAAGGAAGAGGAAGCUUGGGAGAUCAAGAUGAAACAAGUAGAUCUAGAGUUUGUGCUCCAUUUCCAUCUCAUUUGAGGUAUAAAGUUUAUACCUUGUCCAUUCAUCUAUUAGAUCUCUUCUUGGAGAAGUUUAAGGCUUUAAGGAGCCAUUUUUAGAACCAUUCAUGAAUUCAAGUAUGUCAUGGGGUAUUGACUUCAGAUCCAGAGUCUUUGAGGGACUCCAUGGCAUAAAGGUGCCAACUUUAUGGCCAUGGGAGUCCCAUGAAUCCUAUGAACUACUUUUUAGGGCUUUUUGAGCUAAAUAACCCAUGCAUGCAUGUAAAUUUAGAAACUUUAUGUGUUAUAUCGACCCUAGGUGGCCAGAUCUAUGUUUUGGAUGCGUUAAGCCCGACUGAAAUCGACAAUAUAGUCUUGGAUCAUGGGGGACUCGACCAGUCGUUCGUAGGAAUCGGCGAGUCGGGUCGUGGUUCCCCCAACCUUCUCUGUUACUUAGCCACUUGUUGAGUCAAGAAGAAGACUCAACCAUUUAGACGUGUUUUGGACUUAAAGGUCAAGAACUCAACGAGUCCAAGGAUGAACUCGCCGAGUCAGUGAGAAAAUGUCUCGACUAUAUGAAGGAAAACUCGAUGAUUCCAAGGAAGGACUCGAAGAGUUCAAAUGGAAAGUCUUGAUUUUGUCAUAAGGAGAAACUCGACGCGUUAGAGGGUAACUCGACGAUUCAGAUCACGAAUUCGAGAUUCUCUGAAUUAUGAAACUCGACGAGUUAAUGGGCCAACUCGACGAAUUGAGUCAACCAGGAUGUUGACUUUGACCAGGGCGUUGACUUUGACUUUGACUUUGACCAUUACCGAAUAUUGAGCCUUAAAGGGGAUAUGAAUGUGAAGGAGUAACCAAGGAGACUGUUAUAUGUAGGAGUUUGAGGAGAGUUGAUCCCAACAUCAAGGACAGUUCAGUUACUGCACGACAUUGAGGUAAGUUACCUUCCAGUAAAAAUGGGUCUUAGGCACCAAGGCCGGCCCACUAGUAGGAGAUUUCAGUUGAGAUGAUUGUCUUUGUGAUAAUUGUCUGGUUUGCCACUAUCUGUUAUGUUUUAUGUGAUAGUAUAUUAUGUGAUUAUGUGAUAGUGGUAGGUAGGGGACUAGUCCCCGGGUCCGGUUAAGAUAAACCGACAGGGUAUGUCGGGAACCCCAGAAUUGCCUGAUUGUAUCUUAUGCUAUUAUAUUAUAUGGUAGUGGUAGGGGUGAAAUAGUCAUCGUAGCAACCAAGGAGACUGUUAUGUGUAGGAGUUUGAGGAGAGUUGAUCCUAACACCAAGGACAGUUUAGUUACUGCACGACAUUGAGGUGAGUUACCUUCCAGUAAAAGUGGGUCUUAGGCACCAAGGCCGGCCCACUAGUAGGAGAUUUCAGUUGAGAUGAUUGUCUUUGUGAUAAUUGUCUGGUUUGCCACUAUCUGUUAUGUUUUAUGUGAUAGUAUAUUAUGUGAUUAUGUGAUAGUGGUAGGUAGGGGACUAGUCCCCGGGUCCGGUUAAGAUAAACCGACAGGGUAUGUCGGGAACCCCAGAAUUGCCUGAUUGUAUCUUAUGCUAUUAUAUUAUAUGGUAGUGGUAGGGGUGAAAUAGUCAUCGUAGCCGGUUCAGAUAAACCGGAGGGUAGGUCGGGCACCCUAGAAUUGGUUGGCAGUAUGUUGCUAUAUGUUAUGUGGUAUGAUGGGGGAACUCACUAAGCUUUGUGCUGACGGUUUUCUGUUUUUUGUUUCAGGUCCUUCUUCUUCGAAGAGAAAAGAGUCGGCACGGUAGCAGCGCAUCACACACAUGAUUUCCACAUAGGAGAUUUUUGGGAUUUGUACUCUAACAUUAUUAUGAUAUGGUUUUUGAACCCUUGACCUAUGGUUUUAUGAAAUAAAUUACCUGAUGAUGUUUUCUUAUAAAUUUUUUUAUGAAUCACUAUAUUAAAAAUGAAAUUUUUGGUCUUGAAUUUUGGGAUCUUACAUAUAUAUAUAUAUAUAUAUAUANNNNNNNNNNNNNNNNNNNNNNNNNNNNNNNNNNNNNNNNNNNNNNNNNNNNNNNNNNNNNNNNNNNNNNNNNNNNNNNNNNNNNNNNNNNNNNNNNNNNNNNNNNNNNNNNNNNNNNNNNNNNNNNNNNNNNNNNNNNNNNNNNNNNAUCUUGAAUUUUGGGAUGUUACGUGUAUAUAUAUGUACAUAAAAUAUAAAUUAUUCCUUAAGAUUUUAUUUUGAUACUUGUUAUUGAAAUUUAUUAUUUUCAUAAUGUAAAUAAUUUCUAAUUAGUUACAAGAUUUAUAUUUAUUUCUCAAGGAUCUAACUUCUUAUAAAUAAUAUAUUUGCAUCAACUUGUUGCUAGUGUGAUACUUUAUGAUCAUAUACUAUCUAGCAAAUAUAAUUCUACAACGAAUAUUGAGCAUAUAGAUCUUUCAAUAUCGUCAACUUGAACUCUGCAUAUAAAAUGACUUUGGAGUGUUGAAGUAUCGAAGCCCCUACGAUACUUGAGUAUUGGAGUACCUAAAAGAAGUACUGAAACAUGAAAUGAAGUUGAGCCAAUUUUAUCCAAAAUGACACAUCAUAAUAACCGAAAAUAAAAGUUAGGCCAAUUUCAUAAAUUAAUAAUCAAGUAUUAUAGUUGUUUCAUCUAAGUCACUAACAAUUAUUUUUUAAGAGGUUUAAGAAAUGGGCUUUUAGUUUUGUUCCAUCGCAAUGUACUUUUAAUUUUUUCCAUUGAAAAACAUUUUUUUACGACAAGUAUUUUAUUUGUUUUCUCAAGUAUGCUUAUUUUGACUUUGGAUUAUUAAAAAAAUAAAUAUUUGCUUUCCUUCAAACAAUUAAAUUAAUAAAAGUUAGUUAAAGCCUAAUAAUCAUUUUAUACAAUGUUGAUACUGAAAGGGAAAAAAAAGGACAAAUCAUACCUACCAUGUCUAUUGAGAUGAUUAGUUAGGUUAGAUAAAAUCUUUGUAAUUACUUGUAUAUAUUAUUUAAACCGUAACAUCCCAAAAAUAACGAUAAAAAUUUUUCAUUUUUAAUUAAGGAAAAUCAUUGUUUUCAAACAACACCCAAGUCAAAGUCAAAUAGAAAUAUCCCAUAAUCAUAGUGUAAUCAAAUCUACAAAACAAAUGCCGAAGGAUGUGUAUGAUCACGUCUUUGGUUUUCCCCGAUCAUCUGAAUUACCUGAAACAAUAAAUUUAAACCGUAAACCAAAGCUUAGUGAGCUCCCCCAAACUACCACACAAUGGAACAUAUACAAAUAAUACAUAUUAGGUCCACAACCUCACAGUUGGAUUACCCCUGGCCUACAACCUUUCGGUUGGAUUGCCCCAGCCCACAACCUCACGGUUGGAUUGCCCCUUUCUGGCCCACAACCUCAUGGUUAGAUUGCCACCAGCCCACAACCUUUCAGUUGGAUUGCCCGAGUUUGUUGUCUGGCAGCACAAAGCAGUACAGUCUCAACCCAGCCACACCAUGUCGACAUGUAAAAACAAAUAAACAUAUAACAGUAACCAGAUAAACAUGUAGAUCUCAAUAAUUCACUACAGUAUAGCAACAUUCCAAACCAGUAUACACAAUCUACUAGGAUGACAUUGGUGCCUUCGACCCAUAUGUACAGUAAGGAGAACUCACCUUACAGUCCGAAAAUAUAGUUGAACAGAUCACAACUCCAAUUGCUGACUCUACAGGUCACCUAUACACAAACUAUAACCUAGUCUCAGACUACUGCUCAAAAUACCCAAAAUACCCCUUGGUAAAACUUGGUCAAAAGUCAAUGUCAAAGUCAACUACAGCAGGUCGCUCAGGGUCUUAACCGAGUCUACAGGUCUUGACCUAGUCUCCAGGUCAUGGCAACCUGAGCCACGUCGUAGGGACUGGUCAGGGAAGCUUAAACCAUUAAGUCACUUUUCUUUCCAACUUCAAGGGCUCCAAAACUCAGAUCUGGUCCUUUCUAAGGUCCAACUGGAUAAUGUUUCCAACUUUAUCCCUUUUGACACUCAAAGAGAUAGAGUUCUCACUCCUAGGACUAAAUAGGGAAAAAACAUGACUUGACUUAACCCAUUACGCACUUUUCCUUGAAGGAUUACUAUAUCCCCACUCCAGAAAUUUUCUAGCACCUUAUACUCACAUAAAAAUCCAUAAUUUCUAGACAUGCAUGUCUUGGACGCUUAUUAGGUCAAAAUAGAGAAAAAGGGGCCAAGAACUCAUGCAAGAGUUCAAAAUUAUAGAUCCGACACUCCUAACCACAAAGGGACUAUGGGGAUUCAUAAAGUUGGCAACUUUAUGAAAUCACAACACUCCAAUAUGUCCCAACAUGAAGAAUAAGGCAUAGAAAUCUAGAUCUAUGAAAAAUAAACCAAAAAGCUUGGAACUUAGGGACUUAUAAGAGUCCAGAAUAUGCACAAUAAGAUGAUGAGAAGAGUAUCUUUCUGACUCCAAGUCUAGAAGUCACCUUCUUCUUCUUCUUCUUCUAAUCCCCAAAAAAUCAACACAAAAAGCUUAGAGAGAAAUAAUGGAGGUUAGGGUUUGUUUAGAGGCUGAGAGUGUGUGAUGGAGGCUGAGAAUGAGCAACCCUAGCCAUCACAUUCCCUUAAAUAGGGCGCAAACCCCAGAUAUUAGGGUUUCCCGUUAAACCGUUGCCACGUCGUGAUGACUUUAAAUAAGAUCGCGAUAUUUCUUGAUACUCCACGCCGUGGCGCUUUCCCCCAUGACGUGCCUGUUGGAUUAGUGUCUAAGUCCAUAACUAUUUUGGUAUGUACUUGACCCGAUGGUGCAUGGUCCUUUUGGGUUGCCUUCACCAAAGCAACUUGAUAGGAUGAAUUAUGGAGAGAGAGGAUUAAUUAUGAUUUAUUAAUAUAUUAAAAGAAUAAUAUAUUAAAGGAGCAAUCAUAAUUUUUAAUUAAUAUUAGUCAAGAAUUAAUUAAUUAUUAAUUUUGUGGCUAAAAGAGAUUAAUUAAACUUAAGGGACUGGAAUUGUAAUUAUAAGAUAAUUGCAAUUAGGCUAUAGAUCACCUUGGGAUAUUGGUUGGACGAAAUCUAUGGGAAGCCCAUAUGAUUUUCGUCCAAGGCAUGUUCAGAAGGGGUCCAUGGGCUGCUUAGGGCUUAAGCAGUCAAAUUAGGGUUUCCUUUUUAGAUAACCCAAAUUGCCCACCUAUUUAAAGGACCCUUGAGACCCACAAACGUGCCCAACUAUUAGAUUAGGGUUUCCAGCCGUUUUUGGGUGUCUAAUCUCUUCUCCUUCUUUAUCCUCUUGCUCUUGGUGUUUGUGAGCCAUUAGGGGAGUGACACUUGUGACUCUAAGAUUUCUGAAGCCAUUACAAGGAGGAUUUGAGAUUGUUAUUGCUACAUAACAAUCAAGGUAAUAUCUAAACCCAAUUUACAUAUAUGAUUUUGAUUAUAGUUUGCUAGAUCUAGGGUUUAAAGUCUUGGAUAAUUGCAUGUAUAAUAGAGAAACCUAGAUCCAAGCUUUAGGGUUUGCAUGUGCACAUAGGAUGUUCUUUUGGCUAAAACCCAUCAGUGGUAUCAGAGCCUUGAUUGGUUUCUGUUUUAUGUGAUGCAAUGAUUUUUUAUCUGCGGAAAAUCAUUUUUAUGGCAUCUGCCCGACCCAACUCGGCGAGUCAGACCAACUCGGCGAGUCCAGGUAGUGACUCACCGAGUCUGGGAGUCAGGCAGAGGAUAUUACGAGAUUUUAUGCUUUUUUUGCUUAGGAUAAUUGCCAUAAUUCUUUCAAAUUAAUAAAAGACAAAUUUGCAAAACUGGUCCUUGUGGUAUGCAUUUUUUUGGAGUUUUAGUCUAAACUACGACUUUUUUGGAUUGGUAGUCCCUUUGAGCUAGUUCUGUUGCGUUUUUGGUCCUUCUGAAUACUAAAAUGACUUUAAUACCCUUGGGAUAUUUAUUUUCCAUUUUUCUUUCAUUUAUUUUAAAUCUAAUACUAAUUUAUUUAUUUUAAUAAUUAAAAAAAUAAAAAGGGUCUCUCUCUCUCUCUCUCUCUCUCUCUCUCUCUCUUAAUCAUCACCUCCGUCUCACCAUCCCCACAGUUCAUCUCACUAACAGAUAAUGCUUCAAUGGUGUCUUCACCCCCAAAACCCACUUUGAUUCUCGAUGUCAAUUUUUUUUACCAUUCUUCAAUGAUGAAAUCAAGUUUUCGAAGAAUCUGAUUAAACAUAUCCAUCUUUGUCGUCAUCUGAAACCCUUCUCAAAUAUGUUCAUAUCAAGCCCUAGGGGAAGAAAUCAACUCUGUGAGACUCACAAUUGAUGGAUUCAGCAAGUCUCAGAUAUGUUUAUAUCAAGCCCUGUGCAUCGAUGGUCCAAUUAAGGGGAAGUAGAACAGAACGGAUAAGGAUCUCCGGCAAGCUCCUCCUUGGUCUAUUUGUUCGUCAUCGAUGGUCCAAUUAAGGGGAAGUAGAACAGAACGGCAACAAAUAGUGAGAGGGUGACUGUAAUCGGUGGAAGAAGGAAGACCAGUCGGUUCUUUUGGUGAGCUCCUUCUCUCGGUACUCCAACCUUCGAUAGUGCAACUGUCAUACGGGGUAAUUGCGGUGGUGUAUAAUCAGUUGUGAGGAGGGCUUAGCCGGCAGAAAAUUAUUGCCCUUUUUCGGCGACCCUUGUGGGUCCUUUUUCUCUUCUCCGCUAAUCACAAACGCAGGGAAGCAGAGCAGCAGUAGUUGUGCCGGACAGGAGGUGUUUGGUAGCCGGAGUUGAUGAAAUCGAAGGGAAGGGGAGUAGGGUUGCCAUCAUUGGUGAAGGUCACCAAUUUUUCUUCUUCUUUGGCUAGAGGAGACGUGAGCGAGAGAGAGAGAGAGAGACUCUAAUUUUUUUAAUAAUUAAAAUGAAUAAAUAAUAAUUAAAUUAAAAAAAUGAAUUUAAAAAUAGAAAAGAAAUACCCAAGGGUAUUAAAGUCAUUUCAGUUUACCGAGGGACUAAAAACGCAAAAGAACUAGCUCAAAAAAGACCACCAAUCCAAAUAAGUCGUGGUUUGGACUAAAACCCCGAAAAAAUACAUACCACAGGGACCAUUUUUGCAGUUUUGUCUUAAUAAAAUAUGAACUUUAUUGAUUCCUUAUGAUUAUCCUUCUCAAAAUAAAAUAUUUUUGUCAUCUAAUUAGAUAAUUGUUACCUUAUUUGAUAAAUGUUAAAUUAUUUGAAUUAUUUGGUCAAUUAUCUUGCAAAUUAAAUUGAUUAGGUCAAUUAUAGAUAAUCAUAAAAUUAAUUGUUUAAUUUUGAAUUAUUUUCUAUUUGAUCCUUUAUGUUUUGAAAAAGUUUCAAAAUUUGCCCUCAAGUUUUGGGAUUUAAUUUUUUUUAAUUAAAAGUUUAAGUUAAAAAUGUUAAAUUCUAAAACCCUAAUUUUUGAAAAAGUUCAAAUUGUACCCUUAUGGUUUUGUUAAAUUAAUUAAGUGUAUAAUUAAAAGAGAGUUAAUAAAUCCAUAGUGAUAUGGUUUANUAUUAUAGGAUAUAUAUAUAUAUAUAUAUAUAUAUAUAUAUAUAUAUAUAUAUAUAUAAAACUUAAACUGCUAGUCUUAACGUUAGUAGGCCUCAUUCAUGAAGCCAAUCUAUAAGGGGAGUAUAAGGUUAUGGCCUAGAAAAUGGUCGUUUAUGAGUGUCCNCCACUCUCACCCACCGCUUCCUUGAUUGGUGGAGGGUUAUUAGUCGAACGGGUAGGAUAGGGCAAACCCUUUCCAUUAAAAGUAUAAUGAAAUAUAAAGUAACUAAAUGUUUUUACAAAAUUUCCAAUCUUAGUUACUUUAGGUAAAAGUGAAUUGAUGCAAUUCCAUGAAAUUACACUUUCUACCCUUGCGAAGACGUUAGUGGAGCCUAUGUGGUUAACCGGCACACUAAAUGUUUCUAAGCAAAGGUAGCGAAGGGUGACUAGAUGUUUGUCAUAGUUCUAUGAAGCGUGUGUGGUUAACUGGCACAUCGAAUAGGUGACUGUAACAUUGGGGGCACCAUAUAAGUUUGCAUGGUUAUUCACCCCCUGUUUUGUGAUCCUCGGCAUCCCAUUCACAAAUCGUGGGGCAUAUUGAGAUUUAAACAUGCCAUUGAAAGGUUCAAUGAAUCUAAAAGGAUCUAAGAGUUUUUAAUACAUUUAAAACUUAAUCUCCUUUUCGUUUUUCAUGGUGGAAAAUUAGUGAAUCGUCAUUCACUUACCUUCAAAUGUUCUGCAAUUUGGGUUACGACAUCCCUCUCCUAAGUUGUAGAAUAUUGUGUUGGGUCCUAGCCUUAAUAUCUCAUUUGGGUGAUUUAUUAAGGAGUCAAUCAAUCAACUAACUUGAAUUUUUCUCUCGUUUUGUAGAUGUCAAAGUACGACAACUAUGGUCUUCCCAAAUCCCGUGGAACAAGCUUUCCACAUGAAGAUGAUAUUUCACGAUUUGAUCGAGGAACACGAGAUCAUGCUUCACUUCCUCCACCUUCUCCUAUUGUUCUUCCUAACCCACAAGUUCAAAUGCUUGAAAAGUUCAAACUCACUCAAGCCCUUUUGGCAAGUAAACAUGAAGAAGGAAAGUCAGUGUGUGCAUACGUCUUAAAGAUGAAGUCACACAUUGAUAGGUUAAAAAUGUUGGGAUCCGUUGUCUGUGAGGAGCUGACUGUUGACUGGGUUCCUCAGUCGCUUGUUGACUCAUAUAGUGAGUUCGUAAGAGAGUACUAUAUAAUGAACCAUGGCGUGACCCUCAUCGAUCUCACCUAUAUGCUUAUUGCUGCUGAAUCAGAAAUGAUUUGGCGCAUUGAAAAAGCAAAGUUGAUUGGUGAAUCUGCCUUCCAGACUUCUAUGGACAUAUGCAAUGGCAACGAAAGGCAUGCCAUGGUCGAAAAUUUUGAUCAUAAGAGAAAGGAAAAGUCUGAAGUAGUUUCGUGUGAUGUUCCAAAAGAGUCGAUUUGCUUUUAUUGCUAAGAGAAGGGGCAUUGGAGACGAAGCUGCCCUUUCUACCUGAGAGCAAGUUGAUUGGUGAAUCUGCCUUCCAGACUUCUAUGGACAUAUGCAAUGGCAACGAAAGGCAUGCCAUGGUCGAAAAUUUUGAUCAUAAGAGAAAGGAAAAGUCUGAAGUAGUUUCGUGUGAUGUUCCAAAAGAGUCGAUUUGCUUUUAUUGCUAAGAGAAGGGGCAUUGGAGACGAAGCUGCCCUUUCUACCUGAGAGCUCUAAGAGAUGGGAGAGUCAAGACGUAUGGCUCUACUUCAGGUAAAAUCCACUAUAUAACUCCAUUAAGUUCCUAUUUAUUGAUUCUUAAUACAUAAUGUGAUAAGAUUACAUUUGAAUGUUUUGCAUGAUCAGUGAAAAGAGAGGAAGCUUGAUGGAAGAGCAAGAUGAGUCUGAUCACGAAGAACUGGAUCACGAUCGCAUGGAUUCGAAGAUCAGAUUUUGAGCUUAGAAAGUUAUGAUAGAGUUGUUAGGAAUAUUGAUUACAUAGUUUUUCAGUUGAUUUUGCAUUGUAAGGACAUGUUUUCCGCUGCUUUUAUGAAUUAAAUAAAUUUUAGAUUUGUCUUAUUUAUAUAUACCCUUGCAAUGAAAUCGUUGUGAAAAAUUGAUGUUUGUGUAUUUCUAUAAAUGGAUGUGAUUCUUAGUUAUGUUAUUUAUGGUAGUGUCAAAAUUUCUAAGUAAGGAAAGAUUCCCAUCACCCAAGUUUCAAUUGGAUAGAAACUUGGAAUCAUAUCAUUUGAAUCAUGUGAUGUAUGGAAAUCUUGGUACUUAGGAAAUUUAGACUAAUUCCUUGAUCACACAAGUAUUUGAGUCAAGUGAAGGACUAAAGGAAUAGAACACAAUGUUAUGCACUAGUCAAGUCCACCACAAAUAACAAUAAGACUAUUCGUCAUAAUUUACUAAAAUUCUAGUAAAUGUGGUUAUGCCAAGAUUAAGUGGAAUUCUGAAUCAUUGAAAGGUUUCAAUGAAUGGUAGAACGAAUAAGAAGAAUCAACUAGGCAGAAAGAUAAAAGUUUCUCCAAUCUAAGAAGAAGGGGGAGUACUUUUGUAUCAGAUUUUAUGAUCUACUUAAUGAUUAAGAAACAUAUCACAAUUGAUCCUCUAUGGACAUCUUAGUUCACUAGUACGGCAAAGAAGAGGAAUCGAAAAUUAUUGAAAUGGUUAAAUCAAAAGGAUGAGUCAUACUUCGUUCCAAAAUCAAGUCUUAGAAUCAUACUCCAAGAUUGUGAAUUGAGUGACACACACUCAUCAAAUGUGAAGUAGAAAAAUUGUUUUUCUUACUCUUGCACGUUUGAAAUUGGUGUGUAGUGUUUAUCUUGAUGAGAAUCCGCACCAACUCUUGAAUAUUUGUUUAUCAAGAAAUGUUUCUUGAUAAGAGAAUGUUAUAUGUCAAGAGGUCAGUGGGAGUCUAAAUGAUCUUGAAAAGUUUCGAGAACUAAUCAAGAGUAAACCUAUUAUUAAACACUAGCACACGACUUGAGGAUUGUAACGUAUCGUGUUGACAAAGUUUUUAUUUCUGUGCCAAUCUAGUUGAGUGAUUAUGCAUAUGAGUUCUAUGAGUUCUCAAUAGAAUGCAUAAGGCAAGCACCUUAUUCAAUGAAAGUACAUUGACUGGAAUAGGUGAGCUGCUAGAUAACUUGGAAGCAAUGGUAGGAUCUUUGAUGGCAAGAAAUUAAGAAUGAACAAGUUCUGUCAAUAAGAGUUUGAAUUUGUCACAAACAUUAUCUUACGAUUAUGGUUAUGGAAAACUUACAUGGAUAGGAACACAUACACCAUAAAAUAUAAGUGUCAUAAGGUUUCUCUCCUUCAUGAAAAUGAUUGUGAGGAAACGCUUUCACUAAGAGAGAUUUUAAGGAGAUAGCGAUUAUGUAAAUUGCAUUCUCAAAUUCGAUUAUGAUUACGGCAUCCCUUUUCAUAGUUCGAAUUGUGAGAUUAGGUAAUUAGUCUGAAAAUUUGGGACUUAGUAAAAUAAGUUUUGAAUUAGUUUAGACACACAUGUAAGCUGUCUAAGGAAAGGUGUGUGAUCUUGAGAAGCUUAGAUAAAGGCUUACCGAAGCAUAUCGUAUUAGAAACAAUGAACUUUGGAAAUCAAUAAGUACUGUUUUCUAGAAGUUUAGCUGGUUUCUAAAUAAGUGUCAAAGCUAGUGGGAGCAUAAAUGUUAUGCUGGAAUGGAUAUAAUCAUCAUGUUAGUGGGAGCAUGAUUAUUAUUUAAGUAUUGCUAUUUGGCAAUAUUAUGCAAAUUUGUAGGGGUUGAAAAGUUGUUUUUGUUAUAAUUAAGGGAGAGAAUGUUAUACUGCGUUUCCAAUCUAAACGCUUAGAUCGAGAAAUUUUAAUUAAAUUUAGUCAAGGGUAUAUUUAUUAUUUGCAUUCUCAAAAGUUUGAUUAUGAUUACGGCAUCCCUCUUCAUAGUUCGAAUUUUGAGAACACGGCAGAUAGAAACAUUAUGACGAUAUUAUAGUAAGAAACUGGUAAAGUAUCAUGAUUUUAUUAUGAAUUGCAUUCCAUACGCUUCGGGUAUAGGAUGAAUUGCAUAUGUUGUAAUAUUCGACUGUUCUAAAAUUUUCCAAAUGCCUAUGGCAUUUAGUGGGAAAAAGGAAAUAAAACCGGUUUUGGCUAAAAGAAUUAAACAACUUCCAAGGACAAUCUAAGGUUCGCCAAUGAUUGGUUGCUUGUGGACAGUUGAAAGUAUAGUCAUGGAUGGACCAUAUUGACAUUAUAAGAUUCUAUUUGGAAUAAGUUGUCAUAUGGAAAAUAUGGAAAUGUUUCCAUAUUGGGAGUUGGAUAUCGAGAAUCAAUGUCUAGAUUAUAAACUUUUAUGCAAGAAGGAUGUUCAAAGGAAUGUACUUUGAAUACGAGAAUUCAUAACUAUGGAAUUGUCUUGUAAUAAUCUCCAAUAGAGUAUUUUUCUAAUUUCAUUGGCCGAGACUUGGUGACUUUUGUGCCACGACACUACGAAAAGGACUGUUCAAUAAAAUGUUAGAAUCUAACAUAUUCUAGUAGUGGCGAGAAUUUUGUAUUUUUACACUAAUGGAUUAGGAAUUGUGAAAUGAGUGUGAUUGAAAAUGUUAUUCAAUUAUACUAUUUCACAAAGUAAGGACCAUAGGUAAACAUAGUGUGCAUGCUAAGAGCAUGGGACAAUUGUUGUUAUAAUUCAAGUAAUAAGUUGAUUACCCGAAACAACAAAUAAUGAGUAAUUAAUAUGGUGAUUAAAUAAAAGGUGUUUUAUUUAUACUUAAAAUUUUGGGGCCAUAUAGGAUUAGUAUUAUUCUUGUGUUUCACUUUGCAUGUUUUGACUUUCAGAAUAAUUAAAUUAUUUCAGAAUAAUCGAAUUAUUCAAACCCUCCACAGUCGCUCAUAUUUUGGAAGUAAGUAUGAAAGAAGAUUGUCAUGAAUCUGACUGUAGACUGUCUAAAGUGUUUUAGACAUAGCAAAAGUUUGCUGUAGGGUUCAUAAGUACUGCUAUAAGAUUAGAGUAUUGGAAUAAACCCAUGCUCACUUGGAUCGCUUCAUGGAUUUUAUCACGAGUGAUUGGUGAGAUGAUAAUAUCUUAUAUUCUUGAAACCAAGAUGUGUGAGGUGUAUCUUGCAAAUCGGUUGCACGUUGAUAAUAUGUAAACGCACCAGUAACUUGGUGUUAUAAAACGUAUUGUUGUGUGUGAUUCAUUGAGUGAAUGCAAGCGAGCAUUGAGUCGAAGUUUAUCCGUUCCUUUUACCCAAAGUGGGAUAAAAGCGAUAUAUGUGGGCCCCUCACUGAUUUAGUGAUGACACCUAAGGUCUUGGCCAAGUCGGGACUAAGUUGAUGUGUUCCCUUGUAGUCUGUUGUCAGUCGUCGUAAAUCGGAAAUCGAGAAACAACACAUAGACAGAGAGAAUGAUUUGAAUCCAUGUCUCAGUCUAUACGAUAUCUAGAAUGGAGGAAUAUAUGAUCCCUUAUCUAAAGGACACGCUUCUAAUAAGAUCAGAGUUGACAACGGCUUUUGAAACCUACGAUUGCGGAUCAGGAUCUAAAGUCAUAUGCAGAAUAGUAAUUAGACUUAUCCAAUUGGCCACAAAAAAUGGCUUAUAAAAGCCCUAGAUCUCCCCAAAGAGGGAUCUAACANAAUAUAUUAUAAGAAUAAUAUAUUAAAGGAGAAAUCAUAAUGUUUAAUUAAUAUUAGUCAAGAAUUAAUUAAUUAUUAAUUUUGUGGUUAAAAGAGAUUAAUUAAACUUAGGGGACUAGAAUUGUAAUUAUAAGAUAAUUGCAAUUGGGCUAUAGAUUACCUUGGAAUAUAGGUUGGACGAAAUCUAUGGGAAGCCCAUAUGAUUUUCGUCCAAGGCAUGUUCAGAAGGGGUCCAUGGGCUACUUAGGGCUUAAGCAGUCAAAUUAGGGUUUCCUUGUUAGAUAACCUUAAUUGCCUACCUAUUUAAAGAACCCUUGAGACCCAAAAACGUGGCCAACUAUUAGAUUAGGGUUUCUAGCCGUUUUUGGGUGUCUAAUCUCUUCUCCUUCUUCAUCCUCUUGCUCUUGGUGUCUGUGAGCCAUUAGAGGAGUGACACUUGUGACUCUAAGCUUUCUGAAGCCAUUACGAGGAGGAUUUGAGAUUGUUAUUGCUAUAUAACAAUCAAGGUAAGAUCUAAACCCAAUUUACAUAUAUGAUUUUGAUUAUAGUAUGCUAGAUCUAGGCUUUAAAGUCUUGGCUAAUAACAUGUACAAUAGAGAAACCUAGAUCCAAGCUUUAGGGUUUGCAUGAGCACAUAGGGUGUUCUUUUGGCUAAAACCCAUCAGUGCCAACACUAAAUACUUAGAAUUUUAAAAUUUGAAUUACCUCGGAAUCCGGAUGUUACAAUUCUCCCCUACUUGAGUAAGAAUUCAUCCUUGAAGUUUGGCAUUGCGAAUAACUCAGGGUAGUGCUCUCACAUCUCAGUCCUAGGUUCGAAGGCCCAAUCAUUACCCCUCCGAUGCUGCCACUAGACCUUGACCGAUGAUACCACCUUCUUGUGUAAGGAAUUGUAUUUCCUAUGCAAAAUCGCUACUUGUAUCUCAACAUAAUUCAAGUGAUCAUCAACCUAAAUAUCAUCUAAAGGAACCACUACUGAAUCAUCAGUUACACAUUCCGUAACUUAGAGACGUGAAAGGUGUUGUGAAUCUGACUGAGCUCUUCCGAUAGAUCCAACUUAUAGGCUACCCUACCUAACUUGGAAAUCACUCGAAACAACCCAAUAUAUCGGGGCCCCAACAUGCCCCUCUUCCCGAAGCGUAUUACACCAUUCCAGGGUGAUACCAUCAGUAAAACAAGAUCUCUGACCUGGAACUCCAGCUCAGACCGACAACUGUCCGUAUAACUUUUAUGUCGGCUAUGAUAUGUUUGCAAUCUCUAUCUGAUAUGUUGAAUAAGCUCUAUCAUCUAAAGGACUACUUUGGUAUUUCGCAUGACCCUGUGCCCCACCUCUCCCCAACAGAAAAGGGUACGACACUUCCUCCCAUGGAGAACCACAAAUGACAUCACGCCGAUACUGGAGUGAUAGAUUUUGUUGUAUGAAAACUCAGCUAGGGAAAGUAGGAGUCCCAACUCCCACUGAAAUCUAUGACACAAGCUCUCAACAUAUCUUCAAGUGUUUAAAUGUUCCGCUUGCUCUAGCCGUCAAUCUACGGAUGAUAAGCAAUGCUAAAAUGUAACAUCGUGACCAGUUCCUUGUGGAACCUCUACCAAAACCGAGAAGUGAGUCAGACAUCUCGAUCUGAUAUAAUAGAAACGGGAACACCAUGCCGGGCGACGAUCUUGCAUGCAUAAACAUUGGGCAAUUUCUUGGUCGAAGAGCUCUCUCAAACAGCUAUGAAGUGGGCACUCUUGGUUAGACGGUCCACUAUAACACAUAUCACAUCAAACCCCUUAGCUGUCUGAUGUAACUUGGUGAUGAAAUCUAUGGUGAUGUAUUCCCAUUACCAUAUGGAAACUUCCAAAGGAUGAAGCUCACGAUACGACUUCUGGUGCUCGACGUUGACCAUCCGACAGGUCAAGCCCCUCUCAAUAUACCAUGCUAUCUCCCUAUUCAUUGAUGGCCACCAACAGUUAAGCCUCAAAUACCGAUACAUCUUAGUGGCCCCAUGGUGUAUCAAAAAUCUGGACUUGUGUGCCUCCUCCAACAUAGCCUGCCUGAUUCUGCCAAAAUCUGGCACCCAAACCUGACCACAACGGGUCAACAAUCCAUGACCAUCGGUAGAAAACCUGUCGAUCUCAUCCCUGAUUCGCGUUCGCUUCCAAUUCUCCUUCUUGACUCCCUCAGCCCGAGCCUCCCUAAUCAAAUCCAGAUGUGGCGAAUCGAGCGAAAUUCUCAUACAUAAGCUCCCAACCGAAGAACUAGUCGACUUGCGGCUCAAGGCAUCAACGACCACAUUUUCUUUCCUCGGGUGAUAAAGAAUAUUGCAUUCAUAAUCCUUGACCACGUCAAGCCAUCUACGAUGUCUCAUAUUCAGAUUCGGCUGAUCCAUGAGAUACCUCAAACUCUUAUUAUCCGUGUAAAUAGUAUAUUGGACCCCAUACAGAUAAUGCUGCCAAAUCUUGAGGGAAAACACCACCGCUCCCAACUCCAGAUCAUGCAUAAGAUACCGCAUUUCAUGCGGCUUUAGCUGUCGAGAAGCAUAAGCAAUAACCCUCCUUCGCUGCAUAAGAACUACCCCCAGACCGGUGAUGGAUGCAUCACAAUACACAAAAAAUCCUCAACAUCCUGAGGGAGAGUCAAUACUAGGGCCUCAAAUAACUUAUGUCUUAGUGUAUCGAAUGCAGCCUGUUGCUCAGGUCCCCAAUGAAAAUCCACACCCUUCCUCUUAGACAAGUAAGGGGUGCAACAAACUUGGAUAAAUCUUGAAUAAAUCUUCGAUAAUACCCUGCUAAUCCCAGAAUACUCCUGAUCUUCGAAGGAGACUUUGGGACCUCCCACCACAUAGCAGCCUCAAUCUUUGUCGGGUCAACCAAAAUAACAUUAUGGUUAACAAGGUGUCCUAAAAAAUAGACCUCCUGUAACCAAAACUCACGCUUCGAGAACUUGGCAUACAACCGUUCCCAAAUCAAAACUCAUAGAAGCUCUCGAAGGUGCUCUUCAUGCUGCUCCCUGGUCUUAGAAUAGACUAGGAUAUCAUCAAAAACAAUGAGUGAUCGAUCAAGCAUCGGUCUGCAUACCCAAUUCAUCAGGUCCAUAAAUUUUGCAGGUGCAUUAGCGAGUCCAAACGACAUCACCACGAACUCAUAAUGACCAUAAUGAGUCCGGAACGUUGUCUUCUCCACAUCCUCCUCUCUAACCCUCAUUUGAUGAUACCCGGACCUCAAAUCAAUCUUGGAAAACCAAGAUGAACCUUGUAGCUGAUCAAAUAGGUCAUUAAUCUGUGGAAGUAGCUAAUGGUUCUUCACCUUCAGCUUGCUCAACUCCCGAUAAUCAAUACACAUACAGUCCAAACCAUCCUUCUUCUUCACAAACAAAAUCGGUGCUCCCCAAGGCAAAAUACUAGGUCUGAUAAACUGCUUGCCCAACAACCCCUGAAGCUGAGAGGACAACUCAUGCAUCUCCGGUGGUUCCAAUCGGUACAACGCAUUAGCAAUCGGAGCCGUACCGGGAAACAAAUCAAUCCUAAAAUCAACCUUCCUCCUAGGAGGCACAAUGGGUAAUUCCUCCAGAAACACAUCUAGGAACUCCCUAACUACAGGCAUAUCCAAAAAUGAAACCUCCUUACUGACCCGAGUGUUGACCACAUACAAGAGGUAACCCAUAAAUAAAUAGUCAUUUAUCCCUUACUUCUGGUUCGAACUACCACCCACUGACCCUCACAGUCAAUCAUCACACCAAAACUUCUCAACUAGUCCAUACCUACUAUCACGCAUACAUCCCCCAUGGGUUUAGGGAUCAGAUCAAAUGGCUAAGGCACCCCGAAAAUCUCCAUAACACAACCUUGAUAAAUGCUCAAUGCAGAAACCUCUUGCUCGUUGGCGAUAAAAACUUGCAACGGGCACUCCAAAUCUCCAAGAGAAAUAUUAAAACUCAUACUGAAGGGCUGAGACACAAAAGAAUGAUUCGCACCCGAGUCAACAAGCAUUAGAGCAAGAAGGGAAUUCACUAAGAAGAUACCUAGCAGGAUCAUAAUCAUAAGUAUACAAUAAUAUAGUUGAUAGAAUAAUAAAUGAAACCAUACUAGUAACGAUGUUCAGCGCGACCCUGGCCUCCUCCGUUAUGACUUGGAAAUCAUGACCUCGAGCCCUAGGGGCUCCAGCCUACCUUAACGUCCAUCCGUGAUUCAAAAGGUAGAAGUAGAUGGUGCUUGCAUGGGUUUGGCGAAAAGCAAGGGAUACUAGGCCUUCACAUGGCCCACCUACUCAUAUUGGUAACAAAUCCGGGAGCUCGGCGGCGGAGCCGGCUGGUGACAAUCCCUAGCUAUGUAGCCCUCCCUACCAUAUUUGUGGCAUCCAGAAGAAAAUCGACAAGCAUCGUCAUGAACCUUGCCAUCCUUUCCACAAGCGAGACCCUUUUGUCCCCUAGAUCGUGAAUUAGCAGGCUUGAACCGAUUAGCUUCUGUGAUUGAAUGAUAGCUUACCUCAGCUCCUUUGUCUGAAUCUUAAUCUCAAUCUCUCGCCUCCUCGCAACAUCCCGAAGCUCGAUGAAGGUACUAUGACGCUGGGUGGACACAAAUUGAUGAAAAUAUUCCUCUUGAGCAUGCUCAAGUACUGCGUUAUCUUAGCCUGCUCCAAAAAAAGAAAACUCGAGAUAAAAUAAAGCCCUUUCCUUGAACAUCUUGGUGAUCUCCGUCACCGAAUCGUCGUCUGUCUCAGAUCCAGGUACUCUUGAGCCAAUCUCUCCCUCUCCACCAGAGGAACAUACCUCGUGCUAAACAUCUUGGAAACAGCUCCCAAGUAACAUAAGCCUUUUUCUCAAGAGUGUAGGAACCAGUCACUCGGUUCCACCAGUCCUUCGCGCUCAGUUGAAGGAGGUUCAGGGCAUACCUGACAUUCUAGUCCUCCCGACAUGAAUACGUGAAAAAGCAUCCCUCUACAUCAAAAAUCCACCUCAUAUCCACUAUCGGGUCCUUUCAACCCAUUAAACUCCAAGGGAUUUGUGUUGUUAAAGUCUCUGUACUAGAAUGAACCUCCACCUCGGCCACCCACAGCAUCAACAGUUGUGGUGGCUACAACAGUAACAUUCUCGGUGAAGGAAGCAUAAUGAUCAUCGAAUAGCUCAAUCAUAGCAGUCUUGAUAGACCUAAACAGCUCCGGAAUAGAACUCCAUACAACAGUAUCCACCUCACUAGUAAUAAACUCACGUAUCUGGUCAUUAGUCAACCCUGGCCUAUCCUGGCCACCUGCUCCAGAUCCAAAAUCAUAUCCUCUCAUGAACACCAUACUGAAAAUGAACUAAUAAAUAUAUCAGAAAAUGCCACCAUUCAUACUAUACAAUCAUCGCAGAGCGGCUAAGUCCUCAGGGUUUGUGACUUCCUUGUUAUGCAUAAAGGUCUUGUGCUUUCAGUUGUAUGGGACCAUACUACCUUCCAUACGUACCUGUAUUUGUCUCAAUGGAUCAUCACAAGCUAUCCCGAAAACAAACCCACAACUAGGAUACACAUACAUACUAUACUCACUCUCUCUCGAGUGACUAAUCACUCCUCAUCUGACCAACUGCUCACAAACUCACUCAUGAAACUUUCACAAACCUUGUAGCUGCUGGUGCAUGUUAAUCAUAUAUAAUGUUGGAUUCCAUAGACAGUCAAAUACUUGAUGAUGUCAAUUUCAUCUAACAUAUCCAAAGUCCUCCAAGUCUAUCAGGCAUUAUACAACAGGCAAUUCUAUAAUGCAAUUCCUAAAGAUCCACAACCUUUCACUAACAUCCAGAUCUAUCAUAAACAUCAUAACAUAUAACAAUAUGGGUAUCUUGGGGUAUACCUUCUUGCUCUGGCUAAUCGUACACAUUUCAUCCUUCUUGUCAUCCUUGAAACAAUUUUGAAAACCAAUUUAGAAACAAUUUUGGAAUUUGUUUUGAAAACUUUUACAUAUCCAUAAUUUGAGUCUGGAUUCACACGAAUUCUCAUCCAAUUCCCUCAAACCAGGGAUCUAAUACCAAUUUGUAACAUAAAAUUUUUCAUUUUUAAUUAAGAAAAAUUAUUUAUUUCAAACAAUACCCAAGUCAAAAUCAAAUAAAAAUACACCAUAAUCAUAGUGUAAUCAAUUCUCCAAAACAUAAAAUUGAUGGAUAUGUACGAUCAUGCCUUUGUUGUUCCCUGAUCGUCUGAAGUAUUUGGAAUAAUAAACUUAAAUCGUAAGCCAAAGCUUAGUGAGCUCCCCCAAGGUACCACACAACGGAACAUAUACAUAUAAUAUAUACAGGGUCCACAACCUCAUAGUUGGAUUACCCCCCACCCAUAACAUUUCGACUGGAUUACCCUGGACCACAACCUCACGGUUCCAUUUCCCUCAUCUGGCCCACAACCUCACAGUUGGAUUGCAACCGGACCACAACCUUUCGAUUAGAUUGUCCGGGUUUGUUGACUAGCAGCACAAAGCAUUAUAGUCUCAAACCAACCACACCAUGUUGAUAUGUAAAACCAAAUAAACAUAUAACAGUAAACAGAUACAUGUAGAUCUCAACAAUUCACUACAGUAUAGCAACAUUCCAAACUAGAAUAAACAAUCUAGUGAGUCGGCAUUGGUGCCUUCGACCUACAAGAACAGUGAGCAGAACUCACCUCACAAUCCGAAAAUAUAGUUGAACAGAUCGUAGCUCCAAUUACUGAAUCUACAGUUCACCUAUGCACAAAAAAUGACAUAGUCUUCAACUACUACUCAAAAUACUAAAAAUGCCCCUAGAUCAAACUUGGUCAAAGUCAACGGCUAAAAGUCAGAGUCAACUACUGCAGGUCACCAAGCCGUGGCCCGUCUUUGCCACACCGAUGCCAUUAAAUGACAAAACAAAUGGUUCUUGACCUAGUCACCACGUCGUGGCAACAUGAACCACGUUGUGGGGACUGGUCUGGGCAGCUUAAGCCAUUAAGUCACUUUUCUUUCCAACUUCAAGGGCUCUAAAACUCAAAUCUGGUCCUUUCUAAGGUCCAAGUGGAUAAAGUUUCCAACUUUAUCCCUUUAGACCCUCCAAGAGAUAGAGAUCUCACUUCUAGGUCUAAAUAGGGCAAAAAUCACUUGACCUAACUCCUUAAGAACUUUUCCUUGAAGGCUUACUAGAUCCCCAUUCCAGAAUGUUUCUUGUAGCUUAUAGUCACAUAAAUAUCCAUACGUUCCAUACAUGCAUGUCCAAUGCAUGUCUUGGACUUUUAUUUAGUCAAAAUAGAGAAAAAGGGGCCAAGAUCUCAUGUAAGAGUUCAAAACUCUAUAAAACCCCAGAUCCAACAAUCCUAACCACAAAGGGACUUUGGGGAUUCAUAAAACUGGCAACUUUAUGAAAUCCCAACAUGAAGACUUAGUCAUAGAAACUUAGAUCUAUGCACAAGAAACCAAAAAGAUUAGAAAUUGAGGACUUAGAAGAGACCAGAAGACACACAAGAAGAUGAUAACAAGAGUUGCUUGCUAAGUCCAUGUCUAGAAGUCACCUUCUUUUUCUUCUUCUUCUAAUCCCCAAAAAUCAACACAAAAAACUUAGAGAGAAAAAAAUGGAGGUUAGGGUUUGUUUGGAGGCUGAGAGUGUGUGACAGAGGCUGAGGGUAAGCAACCCUAGCCAUCUCAUUCCCUUAAAUAGGACACAAACACAAGAUAUUAGGGUUUCUCAUUAAACCACUACCAUAUUGUGGCCAUAUGUUGCCACGCACUGGCGGCCAUAAAGGAGAUUGCAGUAUUUCUUGAAACUCCAUGCAUUUGCGCUUUCCCCCACGUUGUGGCAACCCUAAUUACUUACAAUUUUGAAUUUUGAAUUACCUCAGGAUCCAGAUGUUAUAUAAACAUUGUAUUUUUGCGUUGAUUCAAUCAAUGAGAAAAUUCAACCAUUUUUCUUCUUUCUUAUGCUCUCUCAAAUGAAGAUGGCAUCAGAGCUUUGAUCCUCAAUCAAAUUCCUCAUUUCAAUCUCUUUUUUCUUUGAUUGAACUUUUUCAUCAUGUUUGUUUCAAAUUAUAAUAGAUAUUAAAUUCUAAAUCAAAUUAAUAAUUUUGAUCACUUAUAUAUUCAUCCAUUUGAUCAUCCUAUAACGUCCGUCCCCCAGUACGAAUCACUGUAUAGCAUAAGGGAGUCAAAUGCAUGGUUUUUGCGGAAAACCAUAUUUAAGAACGUGGCCAUAUGGAAGCCAUCACGUGAUGUGCCAAAUAUGAGAACACGUUUCUGGAUGGAUGUCAAGACGUGACAAGGGUAUGGUCACCGCAUGACUAUAGUUGCAGCCCAUGCCCAUGAUCUUUUAGGUUUUCUUCCAUAUUUAAGAGCCAAACCUCAAAUUUAUUUCAUCAUUUCCAGCCUCCAUCUGUCUCUAUAACCUUGAAGCAAACCCUAAUCCCCUAUUCUCUAUUUUGAGCUCAUCUUCGUGCUUUUGAAGGAAGAAGAAGGCUUUGGUACUAUUGUGUGCAUCUUGGCAAGCUUGGGACUUUAUUUGGCCAUCUCUAGAUAUUUAUAAGUGUUCAAGAUCCAAACUCUAUUGUUUUAGGUUUCUAUAUCUAAGCUUUUGUCCCUUCUAUCUUCACGUUUGAGCAAGUUGAAAUGGUGGGGUUCCAUAAAGUUGGAAGCUUUAUGGAUGCUUAAUGUCCCUUGAGGGUUGUAUAUGUUGGAACGGAAGUUUGGAUAAGUUUUGAAGACAUUCAUAUGAUCGUGGUUCUAUUUUUCAUCAUUUUGACAUAAUAAGAGAUCAAGACAUGCAUUGGAUAUGCAUGGCUAUAAAGCAUCAAUUUUUAUAAUGUUUUUAGAGUAAGAAGGCCCUCUGGAAAGUUGGAAUGGAUGGCUUAAAGGACUAAGAACUGAAUGAAUUAAGUUUUCCCAAAUUGUAGUAGUCACGACAUGACCAUUUGGAGGUCAUGAUGUGAUGAUGAGAUUUCAUGAUUGAUUUAUACAGACUCUGUCAUGACGUGGGGGCAUAGCCAUCAGGACAUGACAAUGGUUUUGAUCGUAGCUAAAUUGUUUGAAUAUGAAGUUUUGGAUUGGGGUUGAGUUUGUUAGUCACAACAUGACCAUUGGUUGGUCACAACAUGAGUAUCAACUGUUGGUGAUGUUGAUUGUUGACUUUGACCUUGACUGUUGACUUCUGGUUAAAUUUCUAAUGUUAUCAGGUAGACUAAGGAUUACCUUGUGUGGUUUAUUAGGAGGUGUAUAGCACCUGUUCGUUGGCUGUGAGAGCUGUUAGUUGUUAACUACCUCACCAAGGUGAGACUGCUCACUAUAUUGUGUAGGAUAUUAGUUGUCAUUAUGACUCUUGCAUUGUGUGUUGGGUUGGGCACGUUUGUAUGUUGGUUUGGGCUCGUUUCGUGUUUGGUUGGACCCAUUUGUAUGUCGGGCAGGACCCGUUAUAUUGGGUGGGGCCUGAUAAAAUGGGUAGGGAUCGUUAGGAUUGGAUGGGCGGGGCCCAUAUGGUUAUGUGGUAUUUUGUGGAAAUCGUUAAGCUUUAUGCUUACGGUUUUGUUGUUUAAACAUUAUUAGGCUCUUCCAGUCCUAAAGGGAAAGGCCUGACUUGACUGUACAACAUCCCCUAAUGACUUUUCCACAUUGAUUAUUAUUGAUUUACUCUGAUGUUUGAAAGAUACCUUUUACUCUGAUUGUUUUGGAAUAAAUGGCUGUAUGGAUUUGAUGGUUUAAAAAUGAAGAUUUUAUUGGAAUUUUUUGGACGUUACAAGUUUGUAUCAGAGCCUUGGUUUGAGGGAUUCAGGCACACUCUCGGCAGUUUCUGAACUCAAACUGAGGAAUUGGCAGCAACAUGAACAUUAAGGCAAACCAAGUUUAAAUUAACCUUCGUAUAUUCGAGAGUAUAAGACUUUCUUGAUACCAAAAUUCUGUGGUGCAGUCAAUCCAUGACUUGUAUGCAGUGCAACGGCAAGUAACUUCACUGAUAUCACAUCACCAAUUAAGGGCAUUUUUUGUAGAAGAAUCACUCUCCAACAACUGCAUGUCCAUGUUCCUAAGCCACAACUGAUUUAACUAUCUCUUUACGCAUCAACUAUGGAUGACAACUUUAGAGAUUCCACCACACCAUUGAUAAGGGUAAUUUUGUCAAACCUUUCACCAGCUGCACCUCCAACCAUCUGAUUAAUAUGAGCUUAAUUGAAUUGUGAUUACCUGCACUUGGGUGAAUAUUCCAAGAGAAGAAAAGAAAAUAAAAUCAAAGAAAACACUCACACAUGCCGACACAUAUCCCCAUACCCAAUUCACACAUGAAAGAAUCAAUUAAAACACAUACAAGAAUAUCCGACGUAUCAUAGAUCCUAUUUGAUGUCUACCCUAUGAAUUAAAAACGCACGCCGAACACACACUAGUUGCGCCAAGAUAUUGAAGGGUUUUGAGCAUUAUAUCACUCCUAUGGUGUACAUGCAACCCUAAAUACCAUGGAUCUAUGUUUUCUCUAUUAUACAUGCAAACUUGAACUUUCCAAGGUAUUGCCCUAACUCGCAUACAAUCAUCGAUACUUGGGUAAUAUAAACAAGUUAGAAGACAUACCUUUUCAUGUAACUUGAUUCCAUGGAGCUUAAGAGCUUAGUGCCUCAAGUGUGACACCUCAAAUGACUCGCACAACAUCACCAACAUCUUGGAAUAACUUGAGAGAAAAGGUUCCUAUGCCUAAAUCGGCUAGCCCUCAUGUGUACACACACUAGUGCCAAUUUUUUGAGCCAUGGGGUCCUUAUAUAUGGUGGCUAUUAGGGUUACACCAUGUAACUCAUGUCUUUCAAUAUUCUUCAUGCUCCAUGGGUUAAAACCUCUAUGAAGUAUCCAUGGGUUACUAGAUGGGUUUAGCUCAACAUGAAGAACUAUGGAUCAUAAACCUACAUAUAUAAGAAUGAAUGAUUUACACAAUCAAUCCCCAUAUAUUUAAUUAGUCUCCUUUUGAUCACAAAAUUAAUUCCAAAAUAAUUAUUCAUCAAUACUAAUUAAAUAAUAUGAUUUCAUAUUAAUAUAUUAGAACUUAUAAUAUACUAAGAAAUCAUAAAUAUCCUUUUCUCAUAAAAGUCUAUCCGAAUUGUUCCGAUGCCAUGCAACCCAAAUGGACCAUGCCAAUCAGGUCAAGUACAUACCAAUUAUAGUUAUGGACUUAGACACUAAUCCAACAUAUAUGUCACCAAGAGACCCCAAAUUAAAACCCUUAUCCCCCAGUUAAUGCUACAUCAACAUCAUAUAGAACAUCCGAUAAAAAUUAAGUAAAUAUGAACACAUCGACUUGCACACCAUAAGAUAGCAGGAUUAUGUAAGUUUUCCAUGCCAUCCCCUCCAACCAAGGCCACAUCCCUAAAGCAUAUCACUUACAAUCAACAGAUUGUAUUGAUUGGAUCGAAACACCAAUCCUUCCAUCCAAUUGACUUAUUUUUUAACCUUGUAUUUAUCUAUCCAAUUGACUUAUUUAUUCCGAGUGGGACUUCUAGUUCCUAUAAUUCUAUAUGAGCAAUCUGUAGAAUAGCAAUAUAACAUACUCGAGUUGGACUGUGAUGUUUAGUGCCCAUUUUUCCAAAACAUCAGGUCUUUCACGGAUGUGAUGGAGUUUGGGAGUGAGCACCACCAGGUUUUGAGGCUAUUCCACACAUAACAAGAGAUUAUUCAGUUUAGAAAAAUAUGUUCUUUUGUUUCUGGUUCCUUCCUACAUAAUAUGCAGAUGGGAUUAGUUCCAAUUCCUCUAUUCAUGAGGUUUACCCAUGUUAGGAUCCGAUCAUGAUCCAUUCUCCAAGCUAAUAUAUUGACCUUCUUAGGGACUAGAUAGUUCCAAUCCUACACUAUUGAUGAUUUAGGCAAGGAAAAAUUGUCAAUCAACAUAUGUAGGGAAGAGAAUGAGUAUAUCCCUCAUGGUUCCAACUUCCAGGCCCAAUUUGAUCGUUGAUUAGGUUGUGAUUCGGUGAAGAGUUCUUUGAGGUCAAUAUUUUCUUUUGCUAGAGUUGCUAGUAGGUUUGCAAUAUUACCCCAACAAUAACUCUUUCAUUUUACCCUUGAGGGCACGAUAAAACCCCCAUCUUGUCCAUAGAUGGCAAUGAUGACUCUCUUCCAUAGUUCAUGCUUGUGUUCUUUGAAAUGCCACCACCACUUCACUAACAGUGCAAUGUUUUGGGCUUUAAGACUACUGAUACUUAAACCUCCAUUUUCUUGUUUCGAGAGUAUUUUUUCCCAGCCAAUCCAUGCUAAUUUUUUUUUUCUUUGACGAGCCACCCUAAAAGAAGUAUGUUCUCAUUUUUUCAGGAUUGUUAAGAACUUUAAUUGGUGCCUUAUAUAAUAAAAAAGGAAUAUACCAAGGCUAUCUUGCACCGAUUUGCAUAAUGUUAAUCUGACGCCAAAGGAGAGCGUGGAGGCUUUCCACUUUGAAAAUUUACCUUGGAUAUUCUUGAGAUUGUAGUACCCACAGGCAUACCUAAUUAGACAAAUGGUAAGUUACAAAUGGAGAAUUGGAUGCUUCUGGUCAACAAUUGAUCAUUUUGAAGAUUAUUGAUGCCUAAACCGAAGAGCUUACUUUUUGUUAUAUUUACUUUUAGUGUAGAGACGACCUCAUAGGAACAAAGUACUUUGAGUAAGUUCUUGGCAUUUUGUAUUGACCACUCUCUUAGGAAAAUUUCAUCAUCGUCAAAGUAAAGAUGAGACACGGUCGGUCCGUUAUUUAGAAGGGCAUGCCUUUGAAGAUGUAAUGACUCGUAGGUUCUUCUAUUGUGAUAUUGAGUCACACAGCACCAAGAUAAAUAAGAAGGGAGAGAGAGUGUCCCCCUGUCGAAUUCCCCUCUCUAGAAAGAAUUCUUUGGUUGCUGAACUGUUGACUAUUAGUGAAGCCCUGGCGGAGGUAAGACAACUCCAAAUCAAACUGCACCAUUCAAUCCCAAAGUCAAUCUGUGCCAUUAUAUUAUAGAAUCUAGGUACUUCAAAUUUACACAAUCAAAAUCCUUUUCAAAGUUUACUUUGAAUACGAAAGCCUUGGUUUUGGAUUUCAUAAGCCAUGAGAUGAUUUCAUUUACAAUCAACGGGCCGUCAAGUAUGCUGCAAUUCUUUAUGAAAGUCGUUUCGGUUGGGAUAAUUACUUUAUCUAUCACAACUUUUAACCUUUUGGCUAGCACCUUUGAGAUAAUCUUAUAAACGAAACCGAUUGGUCUAAAGUCAUCCUGGAUGUAUGGAUAUGUAAUUUUCGGCACUAAAAUGAUAAACAAAGAGUUACAUUCUUUUUCGAUCUUUUCGGUUUUCUCUAAUUCUUUGAUAGCAAAGAAGAUGUCACCUCCGAUUGUUUCCCAUUUUUUUGAUGAAUGAAAAUGUAGAUGCAUCGGGCUUGGAGCCUUGUCGGCCCCGCGUUUCCACACCGUUGUCUUUACUUCUUCGAGGGUAAUAGCUGCUUCAAGAAUGGACCUGUCAUUGAACGAUAUUUUUUUGAACCUAGUAAUAAAGAAGGAAGGCAUGUUUUGGUUAGUUUCCAUGAACUUUUUGUAAAAGUGGUUAUAAACCUCAAAUUUGACUUUGUUUGGGUCCGAAGUUCAAAUACCAUUGAUGUUUAUGCCAAUCAGUCGUUGCGAACGAAUAUUCUUGUUAAUUAGAGCGUGAAAGAACCCCGAGUUUUGGUCUAUAACGUCCGUGUUUCUGGCUAAGCAUUAAUAUUAUGAUGUAAUAGUUUGGUUCACCAAUUGUAACUUAUUUUAAAGUAAUGAAGAAAAAUUAUUUGAGUAUUAUGUGAUUUAUGUGCAACAUAUAUGCUUAUAAUGAUACAAUAAAAUAAUAAUAAAAAUAUGCAUAAAAAGUAAAAUGAACAUUUGACCCAAUAUCUUUGAAGAAAGUUGAAGUAGUCGUGACAACUAUACCAGAGAUAUAAAGAACACUGAAAUCCGCUUUAUAACAAAGAAGCUAUGACCCAUCGAAGUUUCGUGACUAAACAGGCACGACACCGCGUAUCGCAAAAAGUGAAAUGUUGAUAAACUACUUUUUAGAAUUAGCAAUCUAAACGAAAGUCGUAGUAUAUGUUAAACCGAGAGUUUGCAUAUAGAGAACAUCCAAAUAUGAUUUUGUUAGAGGAAGUUAUGAUUUUUCUAAGAUUUUGCAUAUAAGAUGCAAUCCAGAAAUCAAAUUUUAGAUCAAUCGAUUUUCAGCCGACAUAAUCAAAAUGAGAAUUGAAGAUCUCGUUAAUAGAAGCUCAAUGAUAUAAAGACAGUCGAAAAUGCACGUCAGAUGACAAAGUUAUGAAUUUUUAAUGGAGUUUAUAUGUCUAAGCCUGUUAAAAUAUAACUUCAAAAAUAAAUUCAAAAUUAGCCGAUGAAGUCCAAAUGAAACUUCUAGAUGACAUCACUACCUACGCAUGGAUAUAAAGAACGUAAAAAACAGAGCUCAUAUGCGAAAGUUACAGAUUUUAGAAGAUAAUUAAUUUUCUAUUAAGUUCCGGAGGUGACAUGUGGCACCAUCUCAGCCUCACAUUCAUCCCCUCAACUUUACACGAGAUCACGACANCGUACAUGAAAAUUAUGCCCAACGUAAGCUUCCUUCUCAGCCUAUAAAUAGAGGCACAAAUCACCUCAUUUCUUCACACCUUUUCUCAAUUUCUCUGCCAAAUACCCCCAAACCCUCUUCUCCUUUCCCUAGCACUUCCUAAGUGUUACAAGCGAGUCCCGAAGCGUUAGAAGGCCCAUACAAGAAGAGCUUUCAGCUCAGAAGUUCUACAGCAAGGUUCCUCGCUAAACCCCCUUGUAAGUGAGUUAUGCUUAGUAUACUUCAAGUAUAACUUAUGUUUAAGUUCAUUAUUGUUAUUAUGAACCUAUAAACAUGAUUCAUCAGUGAGUCAAAUUUGUUAUACUGAUUGAUCUACUUACGAGGAUGAUGUCUAGGCUGUGAUUUAGUGAGGUGUUUAAAGUGAGCUUUCCAAAUAGUAUACUUUGUAUACCAAACGGACCCUACCUCCGAUAUGAUCCUCCCUGGUUGUUCCUUACUUGAUAGAUAAUGAAAUUAGACUUUGAGUUAAUGAUAAAUCUAGACUAAUAACAAGUCGCAAUAAAUAUUAUACUAAAAUCUAGUGAUAAUAAUACUGGGUUUCGUCAAAGGAAAACACGAUUGUUAGAAGCGAAGAGCUGCCUUAACUUCGAGUCAUCACUUUAACAAGCGAGUGCAUAGUUACUUUCAUCUUACACAUAGAUAUGAAGUAUUUAAUAUAACUUACGUGCUAUGUGAAGGGUCUGAUAAAUGGUUUGGGCUAGGCUUUAUAUGUGAUUUGUUUAGUUUUGAGUAUGUAAUAGUAUUUUUGAGUUGUUUACUGUUUUGUCAUGUUCACGACCGUAAACACGUUUACGGCCGCAAACUCAGUUUGCUGUCUAGACUAGUAUAUAAUGGCUAAGAGUUGGUCAUUUGAAUGGUUGGAUGCUUAUCAGUUUACGGCUAAUACUUGAGGUGUACCAGACGGUUAUUUGAUAUAAACGUGUGCAAGCUCAUUUCUUAUUCAUCUCGUUGCUAUUCUCGAUUUGUGAUUGUUUGAUUACUAGUAUUAGAUCCAAAUCCAGACCUAACACUAUGUGUGCAUAUUAUCUAUGUUCUUGAUAUCUAUGCUGGAUGAACAAUUUAUACAUGUUUGUAAUUGAUUUAAACUGUAUAUGUAUUUUAUAUCUGCAAAUAUGUUGGGUAAAUAUGGGUAGAUGAAAUAGAUGAUGAAGGAUGACAUAAAAUGAUGAGAGGCCUCGAUGUUUAAGCUGAUUUAGUCAUCUAGCAGAGUAUAGAUGACGACCACGGACUAUUCUAGAUAGUCCAGUGGAACGCUGGCGGGCUCGCAACCUAUAGGUGUUUGUGAACGACGUGUUCACCAGGUGUACUCCAUCCCUCUCAUGGUUGCCUUAUUAACAUAUAUUGUAGAAGUAUCCCCUAAGGAGUAUUGUCGAUCCCGAUGAAAAUCCUUAGCUAGGUCGCUUACUUUAGAUGCUUUAGGGAUAAAAAGUGAGGAUAAAGGGAAUAGGUGGUUGAAUGAAUUGAUGAAGUUAAUGAACUUAAUUAUUUUGGUUUGAAAACGCUAUGUGCUCACCAGACUCCCAAUCCUGACCCACUAAGUUUCUUGUAUUAUAGGUAGUGGCAAAAGAGCACAGGAGUAAUGGAUGUUUGUAAAGCCUUUACUAUUUAUGUUUAUGCUUAUGUACUGUAUUAACAAUGACAUCCCAACAUUUUUAAUAUAAUGAAAAUACAUUUCUUCGGAAAUGCUUUGAUAAUAUACUUAUCAUAUUUUUGGAAACAAAUUCCGCAAUAUCAUUCUUCAAAAAGAUCUCUGGUUUUUAAUAAAUCAUAAACAAAUCGGUCUUUUCUGGCAGUAAAAUCGGGGAUGUCACAUCAUCGGCUUCUAAAGCCCAUUUACAUAUUGACUUAUGUUUCACGUCUAGCAAACAUUUGGAAUCGAACUCUAUUAGUUCUCUUAGAAAAUCUUUUCUAGUCGACAUGUCUGAUUCAUAUUGUUGUGUUUCCUCUACCUUUAGAUCGAUCUAAUUCACUUUGUUGGACGCUCACUGCCAUGCGAAUGGGAGGAUACCACAUUAAACAAGCUAUAUUCAUAAAUGAAGUUUAUGAGAUUAUAUAUUUCAAAAGAUAUAAAGAAAUUCAUUAAGAACUAUAAUAUCUAAUUGUUAUAGGUGUGGGGUUCUACUUUAAAGCAGAUCUCAUAAUCACAUUAUAUAUAUAUAUAUAUAUAUAUANUAUAUACUCUUGAUAAAAACAAAGUAUAAAAUUCAAAACGAUGUAUGCUAUCUAACCUUAGAAACUGCAACCCGUGCACACAUAUCACCGGUUUUACGCACAACACCUCGAAAAGCUACACAUGGUAAACAAAGUAGUUGGUCUUCUAAUAAUAUUAUAUGGUUUUAAAACAAUGGCAAAUACCAUAAUUGCCACAACUUUUUCACGCAUAAUAAGAAAAGGCAUAUUAUUAUUUUGUUUGGUUAGCUCUAGCUACAACUUUUAUGCAAAGUUAUUACUUUAGUACGCUUAACGAUUUUCAUUGUUAACUUUGUUGUCUUGUUUUAAAAAUUAGUCCUAAAAUUGGGUUAAAGUCUAAAUUUGGUCUCUGUAGUUUGCAAAAAAUUACACUGUAUGUCAAAAGCUUCGUUUUAUGUUUUUUAACUUCUUUAUCUUCAUUUAUUUUUUAUUUUUUCGCCAAAACUAAACUUGGUUUUAUAUUUAUUUCGUUUUCUAUAUUUUCUUUAUUUUUUGUAUUUUUUAAUAUUUUUUUUUUGUUUUUUAGUUAUUUCCUAUUUUAAUAAUUAUAAAUUAUAUAUAUCGCACAUUAAAUAAAAAAAGUAAAAAAAAAAAAACCAUAAGUUACUCAAAUAAAAAAAAUAGAAACCCAAAAAAAAAAAAAAAAAAAAAAAAAAAAAAAAAAAAAAAAAAUCAAACACCAAAAAUGUAAUACACUUUACACUUUUUGAAAAAUAUCAAAACAAGUUAUCAAAUUGAUGAAUAACAAAAAGUAAAAAAAUAAAAAUAAAAACAAAAACAAAAAGAUAAAUAAAAAGAAAAAUAUAUUCAUACACUUUACACUUUUGAAAAAUACCAAAAGAAGUUAUCAAAUUAACGAAAACAAAACGUUAAAAAAAACAAAAAAAAAAACAAAAACAAAAAUAAAAAAAUAUGAAAAUAUAUAUAAAAAAAAAAGAAAAAAAAAUAUAAAACCAAGUUUAGUUUUGACUAAAAAAUAAAAAAUAAGUGAACAUAAAGAAGUUUAAAAAAAAACAUAAAACUGAGUUUUGAAAAUGUGGAGUAAUUUUUUGCAAACUACAGUGAUCAAAUUGGAACUUUAAACUCAAUUUUAUAAUUGGUUUUUACAAAAUAGAUAACAAAAUUAACCAUAAAACUCGUUAAGUGAGCUAGAGUAAUAACUCUGCGUAAAAUUUGAGGCCAAAGUGAAAAACAAAUAAUAAUAGGGUUUUUCCUAUUACGCAUGAAAAGUUUUGGCUUUUAUGGUAUUUGUCCUUAAAACAAAUGUUGACUCCAUCUCUCAUUCCAGCAACAAGUUUAUAGUUGACUAUGAACCUAUGUAUAUUAAAAUCAUUGGUGGAACGACCAUUGCAUAUUCUAAUAAUAUUAUAUGGUUUUAAAACAAAUGUGGGCUCCAUCUCUCAUUCCAACAAGAACUUUAUAGUUGACUAGCUAUGAACCUAUAUGAAUAUCAUCCAUGGUGGAACUCCCAUUAAUUGCAAAUUCUACAUCUACUUCAAAUUCUUCUUCUUCAUUGAUAAUUAUGUUGGCUGCUACUGGAAAUGGCAAGGAAUCUCAACCAUCCACGUCCUCCUCCACGGAGUUCUCACAACCAUUCCAUCACUUCCAAUUUCCUGAGAUUCUCUUAGCAACCAAUAACUUUGACGAAUCAUUAGUAAUUGGGCAUGGAGG
rnacentral:lncRNA from 1 species